rnacentral:lncRNA from 1 species
UUGAGAGAGAAAAGGAAAAGAAAGAGAAGAAGAUGAGGUGGAAAAGGAUCAAGGACAGAAUUUGCAAUUAACUGUAAAUAGAGUGUGAGUGAUUAUAGUACUCGCGGACGGUUAGAAAUAGAAAAGUAGAAUUUGAUUUUUUUUUUUCGGUAGGUUAAUGUAAAAGGUAUAUCCUUUUACAAUAGUUCUUCCAGAAAGUACAAAAAAAUAAAAGAAAUAUAAUGCAAAUCUGCGCCACAGGUGAGUUAGAGAAGGAAUAUCUAACGUCACUUCAUCUUUGGAUCUUUAUCAUUAGCUUCAAUUAAUUGCGAGAUGCUCAACCGCUUGCAGUGAGCAAGUUUCUAGGGCUUGAAAUUGAGGAGAAUAUCAAGUCUUUAGAGGAAUAUUGGCUAAAUGCCUCUUCAGUGAUGAAGAAGAUACACAAAUGUGCUACUUCAAAUCGAGAUCAUGGCAAGGAAGGUGUAGAAUAGGACUUUUUUCGAAAAUAACCCUCUGAAAUUUCAUAAUUGGCAAAAUAACCCUGUGAAACUUUUAUUUGUGAAACUAACCCUCCUCUCGCCACCUCAGCCGUCACAUCAUCAUUUCUCACAAAGACGGUGACUUGUUCACCGUCUUUAGUCCAACCUCUUGAAGACGGUGAAUGGUUCACCGUCUUCUCUAGGCGUGGACCAUUCACCGCCUUCUCAGCAAUUCCCCGCGCCUUCUCAGUAAUUCCCCGCGUAGCCUAAGGCGCAGAGAAGACGGUGACUCGUUUACCGCCUUAUGAAGGCGGUGAAUCGUUUACCGUCUUAUCGAGGCCACCGCCCUCUCAGCAAUUCCCCGCGUGGCGCAAGGCCUUCUCAGCAAUUCCCCGCGUGGCGCUAGGUGCCUACGGAAGACGGUCACUCGUUUACCGCCUUGACAAAGACGGUGAAUAAUUUACCGCCUUAUCUGAGCAAGUUUACCGUCUUUAGUGUAGAACUCCACCCAGCCUAAUUUCGCUAAGUCCUUGAGAGGGGGGCUAAACCACAGAUAAGACGGUGAGUAGUUCACCGUCUUAUCUGGGCUCCACUAAACACGGUUAACACCGUCUUUAGCGUUGGACUCCUAGAUAAGACGGUGAACGGUCUACCGUCUUCAUUAGGCGGUGAACGAUUCACCGUCUUAUUAAGACGGUGGAUCGUUCACCGUCUUCAUUAGGUUACCCCACCCCAGACCGAGCCCGAGAUACCUCUCCCUUCCUUUUCCCGUUCACACUUUCUCUCUCUAUCUCUCUGUCUCUCUCCACGAGCCGCUCGUCGUCGCCGCUACCCGUGCCGAGGUCGCCGCCCCCUGUCUCCGACGUCGCCGCCCGUGCCAAAGUCGCCGCCGGUGCUGAGGUCGUCGCCCCCUGUCGCAGCCGCCCGUGCCAAGGUCGCCGCCCACAGUCGCCGACGUCGUCGCUGCCGCCCCUGCCGAGGUCGCUGCCCAUCCCUCUCUCAGGUGUGUUUUCUAGUGUAGGUUUAAUGUAAAUGUAGGUUUAAUGUAACUGUAAUUGUAGGUUUAAUGUAACUGUAAUUGUGGUUCCCUAGGGUUAAAUGAGUUGUUGGUUGAAUAGUAUGAUCUAACGGGUGAAAAUGAUCAAAGGGUAAAUUUCACGGUCGAAAAUAUAGAAUUCAGACUACGCGGGGAAUUUCACGGCCGGAAAUAUAGUAGUCAGACUCUAUAUUUGUAUUAUUUGUUUGAAAAAAAUAUAGAAUGGAGAUGAGUUUUGGUCCAAUAGACCAGAAUUUAACUCGUCACAUUAUCAAACUAGGCCUUAGUACAUACAAUGGUUUUGUGCAAUGGGACAGCAUUACAAAAUGAUGCUUUUACUCACCUUUCAAUGCACAUCAAACCACUUUUGUGUAAACUUGUGGCCUACUAUAUAUUAAUUUGUCGCCUAUGUGGCAGCGAUGCAGCACUAAAGAAUUAAUGUGCUACAUUAUUGUGCAUCAGUGUCAAAGUUUGAGUCAAAUGUUGUACUAUAGAAACCUCUUUUGGAGGUUUAUUGCUAGUCGUUGGAAAUAAUUAGGAUUCUUUUUCCUGUGUAGUUAAAAUGGCUAGUCGUCGGAUGUCUCUUAGUGUUCAUUGGGAUGGACAGUUAGUUAUGGAUGGAAAUGGUCCCCGAUAUUUCGGUGGUCGAAAGAAAUUGAUCGCGAUUCGUUCAGAUACGACUUAUACGAAUUUUGAGAGGAGAAUGUAUCGUUUAGUAAAUUGUAAUAGAGAAGAACGUUGUCUUAAAUACAAAAUUCGAUGCUCUAUGGGAGCGAAUGAAUAUAUUGAUCAUGAUAUAGUAGAUAAUGAAUCAUUGGAGGGUUUAAUUGGAUUCUCUGAACAUUAUGGAUGUGUGUCGCUAUACAUCGAGAAAGAUUUAUAUCCGUCGGAGACACAAUAUCAGUCGCAAGGUUAUUACACAAGCCUGCUACAUAAUGACAUCGAUGUGGGUUUUCCGGAUGCUCCAAUUGGUGACCGUGAAGUUGGUAAUGAACCAGACACUUAUCAGAUGACAAGGUCAGUAAGAUCUAUAGAUUGCGGUGAAUAUUUUAUUUAAUUACGAAAUAUUUUGAUAAGUUUGAAUAAUAAUUACUGCAGACAGAUUCAGUCUCCACGUGCGCAACCCUCGACGUCACGUGCGCAACCCGAGACUUCACGUGACGAACCCACGAUAUUUCAUACACCUAAUGAAAAUUACGAUUGGGGGUAAAGAAAAUGUUGAUUAUUUUUUAAUUAAUAGUAAGUGAAAUUUGAACGUCUUCUAGUAAACAUUCGGGACCUAUUGCAGGCUAUCUACGUCCUAUGCAAAUUGGAAUGAAGUUCUUGAUAAUCUAGUCGAGGAAGGAGAUGAUAACGACGGUAAUCAGGACGAUGCCCCCAUUCAUAAUGAUGGUAAUCAGGAUGAUUCACCCAUUCGUAAUGACGAUAAUCAGGAUGAUGAACCCAUUCAUGAGGACGACGAUUGGAAUGAUCUAGCUGCCGACAUUGAAGAUGAUCACGAUGGUGGAUUAAAUUGCCUCGCGAAUGCCAUUUACAGUUUGAAUGAUGACCCGCAUGUAAACAACGAAUAUGUAGACAAUCCUGACGAAGAGCUUGAUUUCAUUGACUAUCCGGAGCAAUUUCCUACAGAUAACAAUUGGAUACAAGAGUAUGUUGUGAAUUCGAGUGAGUUCGAUGUUAGACGUACCAAUUCCGAUCUACCUAGCAUUGACGGGACUUGGCUCCGUGAAAUCUUUAAAGAUAAGGCAUCUUUAGUGGAUGCUCUAGAUCGAUGGCACAUUACUCACAAUGUUCAGAUGAAAGUUUUGAAAUCUACCAAAACAACUUAUACAGUGAAAUGCACAGUUGAGGGAUGUCCUUGGAGGUUACACGCUUCGGUUCCUAAAGAUGCAACAUAUUUCAGAGUUAAGACAUAUGCGGGUCAACACACUUGUGUUAUUCCAAUGCUAAAUGCGGCGCACCGUAAUUGUACUUCAAAUCUCAUAUGCCAAGUAAUUCUCCCGUUAAUGAAGGCAAGACUAAAUAUGACGCCAAAAGAAGUGCAGGAAACGGUGCGAUCCACUUUGCAUGUUCAAAUAAGUUAUUGGAAGGCAUGGCUGGCAAGGAGCAAAGCAUUACAGAUUAUUUACGGGAGCUGGGAGCAGUCAUAAACAGACUUGCUUCGGUAUCUUACUAUGCUACAGAGUACUAAUCAUGGAACUUUUUGGCGGCUUGAUCAUAGAUGGCCAUCAGAGGGAAUAUGUCAGUUUGGCCGUGUUUUCUGGUCAUUUGCUCCUUCUAUUCAGUGAUUCGCACAUUGUCGGCCUGUGGUGAGCAUUGAUGCCACUCACUUGUAUGGCAAAUACGAAGGCCAUGCAUUGAUAGCGACGGCUGUCGAUGCAAAUGAUAGUAUUUUUUUCUUAGCUUUUGCAAUUUGCAAAGAAAAAAAUGAUGGAAGUUGGCGUUGGUUUUUACAAAACUUGCAACAUUAUGUUAUACGCAAUCGACAUGUUUGUUUUCUAUCUGAUCGAUUUAGUGGCUUAAAGGAAAUAAUGGCUGAGAUAUAUAUCCUACACGACAAAGGCAUGCACACCGGUGGUGUCUUCGACACAUGAAAGCAAAUAUGAAUAAGUGUUUUAAAAAUGAUUCGUUAUUAGACAAAUUCUACGGACUGUGGCGGCAGUGCUCCAACAUCGGUAAAUAUUAUACAACUGAAAGAUGAGUUACUCCGCCUAGAUCAAAUUGCCGCGAAGUGGGUCGAUAACUCGGAAGUACUACAAAGAGUAGGGCGGGCAUAGUUGAGGAGGUCGACGACUUCGGUUGACGACGCACAAAUAUGUCCGAAGGUUUAAAUGGGUAGUUUAAGGGAAUUCGUGGCUCUCCCAGUAACCGGACAUUUGUCGCGGGAACUUUUUAUAAACUUAAUAAGUUAUUUGUUAAAGCGUCGUGAAAAUGGUGAAAGUAUAGCGGCUAGUUAUGACCUAAAAUACAAAGUCGGAUUACGAUGACGUAUGGUCGCGACCGCGCGGACGGGCACAGUUGUUAUCGAUUUGGGCCUAAUGAGUUUGAAGUCCAAACAGGACACUCUAAUUAAAAAGUUACCCUUAAUGGAACACAAGCGGAUUGUGGAUUGCGGCGAUAUCAUAGCUAAUGGCAAUGCUCCGCAUAUUUUAGCAAGUUGCAGUAUAUUCUAACCAACUAAGAUACAAAUUAUCGAUAGUCUUUGUUUCCGAUUGUACUGUAGAGGUGUUAUGCCGAGACAUACGCACUUCUUUUAUCGCAGUCGUCAAAGACAACGCUACUGGCACGACCCCUAGGGCCGCACCCAAUCAUUGUACCGCAGCCUUCCCGUGAGAAGGAAGAAAGGCAGACCACGAUCAACACGUAUUCUAAUAUAACCGGACGAAACAAUGACGACCCGACACAAAGUAAGCAUUUGUAAGCAGGGAGGUCAUUAUAGAACAACCUGUCCACAGAAUCACAGAGAUAGCUACAAAAGACGCUCGACGUAGGGCUUGAUACGUAAUUAAUAGUAAUUUAUGAAACUUUCAAUCUUUCAAUAUUUCAAUGCCUUUUUGUAUAAUUGUUACUAAAUUACAAAUUAUUUAAAAAUACAGAUGGCAGAUCCUAGAGGAGCGGACCGAGUUUGAUCGAGGUGCCGUCUUAACAGAGCAGCCAUCGCCUUAAGGUCUUCAUUUCUCACGCGGGUGAGAGCCAAAAUUAUUGUUUUUUAAAAGAUUUUCUUUAGUAAUUGGUGAAUAUAAUUGUUGUUCCUAACAAAUUUUUUUUCACUGUAGGAUAUCAUGGGUGCAUGUUCAUAGAGCAUGGCCGCAAAUUAAUCAUAGUGGGAGCUUGUAGACAUCCCAGCAAGUGCUAGAUUGCUAGCGACAGUCUGAAUUUUUAUUAUAUUUCUCGACUUAGGCGUCUACGGGAUCAGGCAUUAUUAGGAGCUUUGAUCGAGCGAUGAGACGGUGAGACCCAGACAUUUCACUCUGCCGACGGUGAGAUACGAUUCCACUUUCAGGAUGUGGCGUUAUUUCGGGUCUUCGUGUUGAUUGGACGCAGCGGUCACCUUGAUUACAGUGUAUCCGUUGGCUAGAUAUUUGUAAGGUCGCUUUUAGGGGUUGUGCGGAUGACAUGCCGAGCUGGGCGAAUUAGAUUAGAUUGAUCAUACCAGAGUUAAUAUCUACUAUUUUGAUGCUCCGGCUCGUGAUGUUUGUAGCCACUGCAUGUGCAUAUAUAUUAAUAUCAUGAUUGGCUCUUUUUGUAAUCUAUUCCAAACCCCACGUAUAUAGGGUUCACUCUAAGUGGCUGGCAUUAUUAGCGGAUUUUGAUGCAUGCGCGCUUUAGCCUGGGGUGCAGCAGCACUGGCCUAUCUAUAUCGAGCUUUGGGAUCGGCUGCAUUAAAAGGAAAGGUCGAAUGCUGUUGCUUUGCGACAUUAGUACAUGUAUUAUGAGUAAUAUAUAAUAAUUGUUAUAUAAAGCUUCUCCUAUUUAAGUUCAACAGUUUAAUUUAUUGUCAUUUAUUUAUAGAUUUUGGUGUGGGACCAUCUACAUGUCGGCCGACCAACUAGCGCUGGAGCUGUUGCUGACAUGGCUGAUUGCCCUAUGGGUUGCCGGUAUGACAUAUAAAUUUGAUAUCGAAUAUAUAUAUAUAUAUAUAUAUACAUUUGCAACUAACAAAUAUACUUUUCAAAAAUUAGGUGGACGAACGCCGGUGGGUUACGUUUUGCAGCAAACGUUAGAACAACCAAUAUUGAGUUCCACAGAGAUGAGUUUGACCAAUAGAGAGAGACUCAGGUACAUAUUAAUGUGUGACACCCCAAUAAUCCCACAUCGGAUGGGAAUGGGGUUGUCAUUAGGUUUAUAAGAGACUUAGACACUAGUAAUAAUAACUGGGCUUAAGCAUUUUGGGCCGGUGAUUGGGCCCAACGAGUUAUUGUUGCUAGUGGGCUGGGUCGUUACAUUUGGUAUCAGAGCCGGUUCACCAGCUGGACAUGUGUGGCGAGUCUCGGCUGAGCCAGGGUCUGGAUGACGGGCUAGCGAGACGAGUCUCACAUAGCCUGGUGAUCUUGGGCUGUGUGUGUUUGGACUGACGAGGACGUCAGGGCCUUAACGGGGGGAGUCUGUGACACCCCAAUAAUCCCACAUCGGAUGGGAAUGGGGUUGUCAUUGGGUUUAUAAGAGACUUAGACACUAGUAAUAAUAACUGGGCUUAAGCAUUUUGGGCCGGUGAUUGGGCCCAACGAGUUAUUGUUGCUAGUGGGCUGGGUCGUUACAUAAUGCAACCAUUUUUUGACUAUUUCAACUGAUAUUUUAGCUGACUAAUAUUGGCUUUUUCACAGAUGACAUGGCGGCCGUACACAGAUGCUAUUAUAGAUGCGUUACCUGCAUUCUGUGUACAAGGCAGUGAGGUAUGGCGAUCUCGGACAACACUGAUUUGUUUUCAUAUCGUUGAGCUUUACGUGCCGGAUCGAGUCCUACGGCAGUUUGGUCUCCUCUAGCAUAUACCCAUUCCGGUGUAGACCAUCCGGCGCUACACUUCUCAGGGGCGGCCAGAUGAGGAUUGGGCUCACUUUCAUGCUGCACACAUCGAGAUAUGGGGAGAUAGAUUACAGGCCAUUAUUGACCAGCAUCCGAUUGUCGGUGAUGACCCGGUACAGGCGACCUCGCUUUAUAUGGAGUGGUACUGACAGAUCACGAGACGAUGGAUUUCUCGUCGAGUACAGCGUCCACCAUUGACUUACCAGCCUCGUGGCCAGACCGAGAGAGCUUUGGUACGAUCACUUAGCCCAUUUAUUAUUUUUUAAUCUUUUGUAUAUUAUAGAUUGCCAAAAGUGAGUUAUUAUCUAUAAUGCAGGUGGACGCUAUACGAUAGACACAGUAUAGCAUCAGGAGCCUAGUUCAUGAUCGACCUUCUUACGAUGCUGUGAUGGAGGUAUUGACGGGUAUAGAUAUCGAUCUUGAUAGUGUACUGGAGUACAUUCCUACUAUACCUGUCGCCACUGAUAUCAGAGGUCGAGAUUUUGGACAUGCAUCGACAUCGGGUCAUCACCACCGUCAGACACCGACAUCUGCUGGAUCUCCAUCUCCUAGUGAUGUUGCUGAUAUACCCGCUGCCCCUGAGAGAUUUCCUACUAGGCCAUUGGACUUGGACAUGCUUUUGCCGCCGCCAGUCUCUAGAGAUCACUUUACAUUCGUCUAUUCUCGACGUCAUGCCGCGUCUUCAUCACAAGCCCGCCCAACAUCUAGACCAGCCACUAUCGAGGAGAUUCAGGCGAUACCGGAGCAUCGCGAGGGUGUUAUGAUUGCGGAUCUCGAUGCGAUGGCCGAUAUCGAGGCAAUUGAUGACAUACCUAUUGCUGAUCUCGUUGUAGAGGUUGGCCGCAGACGUGGACGUGGCCGUGCACGAGGACGUGGCCGAGGACGUCGAGGAAGAAGACGAUCGAGAGGCUGAUUGUAUAUUUUUGAUUUAGAUAACUUAGACUUUGUAUAAUAUUAUAUAAUACUUAAUUUAGUGUAUAUUUGUAUCUUUCUCGGGGUUUUUUUUGAUAUUUUUAUCUUGUUGAUUGUAUCUUGUUAUUCCACUCGUGAUCUUGUGUUUCUUGUUGAAAAAUUUGUUAUCGCGAAAAAACUUGCGUCAAACUUGUUGAAAUUUUCUUUAAAAUCAAGCUUAAAUCAGCACCUGGGGUUGUUUGCACUAAAGGUGAUGAAUGGUUCACCGUCUUUAGUGCAAAUACAAAAAACCGGGGAAAAAAGCGGCUAAGUCCUGGACUGUGUUGUGUUUGCACUAAAGAUGGUGACCCACUCACCGUCUUAAAUAAGACGGUGAACGAUUCACCGUCUUAUCUAUGCCACAAACCCGGGCUGUUGGGCGCGGGAUUUGCUGAGAAGGCGGUGAAUGGUUUACGCCUAGAUUAGGCGGUAAACGAUUCAGCGCCUUUAGUGUCUUUAGAUAAGACGGUGGACGAUUCAUCGUCUUAUCGAUGACACAAACUCGGGCUGUUGGGUGGGGGAAUUGCUGAGAAGGCGGUGAAUGGUUUACGCCUAGAUAAGGCGGUAGACGAUUCACCGCCUUUGUUAAGACGGUAAACCAGUCACCGUCUUCUCAGGCACCCUAAGCUACGCGGGGAAUUGAGCGCGGGGAAUUGCUGAGAAGGCGCGGGGAAUUGUCCACGCCUAGAGAAGACGGUGAACCAUUCACCGUCUUCAAGAGGUUGGACUAAAGACGGUAAACGAGUCACCGUCUUUGUGAGAAGUGCUGAUGUGGCGGCUGAGGUGGCGAGAGGAGGGUUAGUUUUACAAAUAAAAGUUUCACAGGGUUAUUUUGCCAAUUAUGAAAUUUCAGAGGGUUAUUUUCAAAAAAAGUCCUGUAGCAUACGGGACUUCUAUAGUGAAUAGAUAUUGAAUGAGACAUAUCGUGUGGUUCCUGUUAGAAAAAUUUUGAGAAGUAAAAGAUAAGUUAGUAUCCAUUGGAAGUAAGUUUGGUCUUGAAAGAUAAAUUUAAUGGACAAGCACUGAAUUAUAUUUUAAUUGGUGAAUUGUCGACGAAGGAUCGUGUUUGGAAUGUCUCAUUGAUACUUACAGGAAUUUGAAAUCGUAGGAGUGAGUUGGUAAAGUUUUGGGUGGAGAAGAAUGAGAGUGGUUGUGUAAUGAAAGUCCAAAUUAGCGAUUCAUGUAAAAAAUAGUAACUAAUAGUGUUUAGAUAAUUUUGGUUGUGUUUGAGGUGUGUUGGACUAAUUUUGGCAUGAAAUUGAUGCAACAAUGGAGUUUCAAAAGCAAAAUCUGGUGGCAGGUUUGUUAUAUGUACUGGUACUAAAAAAUGUAGUAACGGAGUAGAAUUUUUUGCUACAAAAAAUUUUAGAAUUUUGUGGGACUCCUCUGAUGUACCUAUACUGAAGUUUGGAGUACUGGUACUUAAGUUUGGAGUACUUAUAUUGAAGUUCGAAGUACUGGUAUACAAUAGAAAGUUGGCAGAUUCAGAAUGCGGGUUCUACAAAACUUCCCGUGGUCUACUUGUCACGCUUCGAAGCACAGCGGAAACCUAUCCGAUAACAUACGCACACCUAUCGUGUGCACAAGGUCGCCCCAGUAUAUACAAGGCGUUUACUAUCAAUCAAAUUCAUCCAUCAAGAUAUGAUAUGCACAUCCUACAAGUUGGAUAUCAAGAGCAUACAACAUAAGCUAAACUAACUUGAACAUUUAACAUACAUCUAUACAUCAAAUCACUCUCAAAUAGAAUAUAACUCUUAAGUACAAUACACCUCCAAAAUGGUAAACAUCUCCAACAUCACAUGGCUCUCACAUACAAGUAAACUAGCCUAAAAUGUAUAUAUACAAUGUUCCCCUCAUAACGCUCCCAAAUAAAGACAAAAUGGGCAAUCUCCAUGAAGUCCAAUAGUGGGAUGACUCUACCUAUUAGCGAUGCCCUUGCUGCAAUCCCGAGCCUCUAGAUCUCCCGUGCUAGAGGGCUUUGAAAGAAAAAGCAACCUAACAAUGGAAGUGAGAACUAUGAAAAUAGUUCUCAGUGAAUACUACCGCCGAGAUGGGGAUUUUACUUCACAAAGUCAAAUGAGACAUGAAUAAUAAGAACUCCUGAAAAUAAUAAUAAAUGAAAUAAAAAAGCUAUAAACAUAAGUUACUGCCAUGUCUCUAUGCAAGUAAAGUGUCAACUAUAUGAGCUCAACUAUCAUGCAUGCAUCAAUUCUUUAUUGAUGUUCAAGUAUCCAUGUUAUACCAAUCUCUGGAGGAUUAACUCAAGGUAUAGUCCUAUCCUGCACUGUGUCGCAUGGUCCCAUAGUAGGCACCCCCACCAUGGCGCUUGACCUUCCCCACAGCAUACCAAUUAGCGCUCAAAAAGCAAAGGCAAGUCGGCGUCAUGAUGACAAUACCUUCGAAAGGCCGUACUUGUAGGGAGCAACCCUACCAAGCAAUGUGCUAGAUAAGCAUAAUUGGCUCUUGCAAGCAGUAGUCUCAUGCAUAAUAUCCAAAGACAUUCUAUCCCAAUCAUUUGUAUAUGACAAUAUAAGAGUUCUCAUGUCACACUUUGAGACCUUUUUUUGUAAGCCUCUUAUGAAAGAGGUGCCAUUUGAAAAUCAAAGUUUGCAAAAAAAUUUUUUUUUUUUUUCAUCAUGUCUUGCCCACCAGAUGUACAGACCCGCCAUAAAUACAAAAAUUUCUCUAUCCAUAUGGGCAAAGUCUCCUCUAUAUUUGCACGACGUACCAAUUUGUUACAACACCAUACAAUAACAAUUUUCACUCACACCAACCAUUGCGUAUUCAAGCACAAUGCGUAUGCACAUACAGCUAACUGGUCCUUAUGAAUAUGAUCCAUGACCUAUACAUUCAACUAAAACACUCCUUAGGCGCAUGAUGUGCAUGCACAUUUCAAUAGUUAUAUAUUAAAACACAUCUAUCUUUCAAAAGUGUUUCCCAUCUAAAAAUUUUGUUUUGAAAAUCUAAGGAUAUGAUACAACGAAAAUUAUUUUGAAAGCCAUUUCCGACAAGAAAACAUCACAUUUUUGAAAACUAGCUACCACGAAGGGUAGAAAACUAUUUUUCCAUAAUAUUCACAAAAAUCACAGCCGUAAACCAUAAAGCCAUAUAUAUCCAUAUGCCACAAAAACCAUAACCAUUCAGAUUACCAUAAUAAAGCAUUCAUUCCCAAGCAUUUAAAUCUAACUGAACCACCACAAAAUCUAAUUAUUUAGCGAUAAACGUAAGGUAUAGAUAAAGAACCAAAAUUGAAGGAGUAAAGUACAGCGGCCCACUAAUGCGAACUAGCUAAGUAGGAACAUCAUGCUGCACCUUGAUUUGCCUCCCUACCCGUGCCACUUUAAUCUAUCACGCCCCGGGAUCCCUUUUGGAUUUAAAGAUCAAUGCGGAGUCCACUAUUCACACGAACAGAGUCUCCCUUAUAUUUGUAUGGCGUCGCACAUGUACAAGAUACAACCAUAAAUAUAUGAACAUCUACAUAUAUAAACCACAUCACAAUUACCAUUCACAUCUACAAUCAUUUCAUCACAAUUGUUUACAUAUCCACAUCUAUUAGUUUAAAAUGUUUCCCACCCGGAAACACAUUUUGAAACUCUAAGUCAUGAAAACCAAGAAAAUCUUUUUAAAAUCGUUUCCCACAUGAAAACCUUUUUCUUUUAAAACACGCUACCACGAGGGGUAUAAAACAAUUUUUAACUCAUAAAACUCCGUAAACUUUAUAACAUUCAUAAAAUCGUAUGAAUCCAAAUAAAAUAAACCACUGAACCAUAAAUACUGUCUAAGUCAUUUAUUUAAGAAAGCAAGUUUGAGAAUUAAACCGAAUCGACGGGUCGGUAGCUCUACCGAUCGCUAAGUGCGCUCUUCAUGAAUCGUCCUACUAGGACCCGCGACGUCACCUGAAAGGGGCGUGGGGGGUGAGAACAUGUACACGUCUCCCCUCCCAGUAGGUACCGCAAGCCGACGAGGGCGAGGGGUACUCACGAGUCAAGGAGGAUAAAUAAAGGUAUGUGUAAGGAUAAUACAAUAGCAACGACAAAUAAAAGGACGAGAUGUAUAAAAGAAUAAUUACCACUACUGUAUGUAUGCAUCAAUUGGACGAUAAGUCCAAAAUACCCAAUCUAAAAGCUGCCCUAUCGGUUAGUAGACCUCAGGCCUGUGCCACAAUUGCUCUAACCUGUAAAUGACCCCAGCAUAAGUUCUUGGGUCUGAAAGGUAUAUGACCCGAGCAUAAGCUCUUGGGUCUGAAAGCAUAUAACCCCAGCAUAAGCUCUUGGGCUCACAGGCUGGCAAUCCGAACCACUUUUUCGGAAAAGAACACCCUCUUGCGGUGGAUCAGACCGCUGGUAUUCGUGAAAUGCGUACGAGUAAUGGCGAUCGAUGCUAAUAUGCUCAAUAGCCAACCAUGGGCAACUAGCCGACAAUCCUACCCCUCAGGGUAUACCGACCGUAUAGGUCAUCAAGUAGUCCAACCGAUCAAGUAGGUCAUAAUAACAAAUACAGUAAACCGACCGAAUAGGUCACGGCACAAGAUCCAAGAACCGACUGUCUAGGUCACCGAUCUUACAUGUAAUCAUAAACCUACUCUACUCCUACCCAUGAUGUUAGUUAUGAAAAUAACCAAGUAGAGCGUAAAAGGAAUAACAAAGGUGCUAGGCUCAACAUAACGUAUAUGCAGGAUAAUAACAGAAAAAAGGGUAAGAAGAUGUCAUCGAGCGUGCACCACUAUACCGACUUUGGGUCGAAGUACCCACCUGUACGUAUAUGGCACUGGUCUCUCGACUACGGAAGAAUAUCAACCGGACCUACGAAGGGUCCACCGGGUUAGAAUCUAACCCAUGAAUAUGAAUUACUAAAUCACAAUCCCCACAAAUAAACCCACGGGAAUCGGUUUUCCAAAACCGAUUGCCGUAACUCGCCAGAAGUCUCGAAACUCGCACCGGGACUCCACCGGGACCCACGAACUGUCCCGAAACUCACUGACUCAUGCCACGAGUCACCCGCUGCCAUUAAACACAAUUAUUUGUGUGACCUGGCAGCAAACACACCUCCUCACAUCGAAACGAUUGUCGUCAGAUAAUCGUUUUGAUCCGAGUUCCAGGAAGUGCCAAUUUCGACACCGAAACCCACUGUCGCUUACCUGUCAUUUUCGAACCCUCGAAACUACGCAGGUGACCAGCCAACAAGGCUCAGCGACAACAUGAUCUAUCGUGAGGCACCGUCGGAAGAAUUUCGAACCGAAAUCGCGUUCUGUCGGUGAAUUUCGCUGAAAAACGCACCGGAAAUCAACAUUCGAUUUCUGGAAAGGCCUGGGGCCUUGGACAACUAGUCCAGAGGUCACACGAUGCCCGCACCUACUGCCAACAGCAACCUCGGGCACCCUCUUUUGGCCCGCCGGACCCCGUCGUCCCCGCGCGCCGCCGUCACGAAAAGUGAUCACCUUGCUUUCACAAUCUAUCACCGCAUAGUACUUGGAGAGCCAGUUGGUCCCCAAGAUAACAUCGAAUCCCCACAUCUGAUCUAGCACUAGCAGAUCAAUCGGCAUAAUCCAAUCGCCUAUUUGCACUGGACACGCCAAACACUCGUUAUGCACACUGAAUGAAUGCUCUGGAGCGUUCACCCACCAGUAAUCCUCAUUGUACACCAUCUCUAUGCCAUGAGUCUUAGCAAAUGAAGGGCUAAUGAAUGAAUGAGAUGCGCCUGUAUCAAACACUGCUCUAGCUCUAGUGCCUUUAAUCACAAUUAUACCUGCCACGACGUCGUCGGGUGCUGCAGGUUGCUGCUCCUCCACCUGAGCUGCAAAGACUCGGCCGCUAGGCGCUCUCGAUCCCUCCGGCUGACGCGGUGAUGACGCGAGCCCAGCCGACAUCGCUGGUGGCAACCCCGCAAGCUGUCUCGGGGUAGACGGUGCUGAUGUCGCCGUCGGCGCAGACGACGUCCACAACGGGCACUCCCGGAUAAGGUGUCCCGGUUGGCCGCACUUGAAACAUUUGCCGUCUCGCUGCGGGCAAGUCGACACCUUGUGCUCACCGCCACAUAUAACACAUCGAGGCGGUCUCCAAUUCCUCGCCUGCUGUCGGGGAUACCGAGGGGGUUUCUUAGUAUUUGGCCGGCCCCCGACACCACCCGUCGUUCUCUUCUUGCCCUUGUCCUUUGACUCGGCAAUAGCUUCCCUCUCUUCACGUACAUGGGCGCUACCGUGCUCCGCCCACAAAGCUCGAUCGAAGACCUCCGCAAAGGUCGACAGCUUCAAGAUUUGCACCUUCUCAUAAAUCCGGGGUUGAAGUCCUCGCAAGAACCAAUCCGCCCGGUCCCGAUCAUUACGAACAACGUCGGGAACGCAAUCGAUGAUGUGAGAGAAUUCUUGCUCAUACUCUCCCACCGAUCGAUCGCCCUGUCUCAAUUUGCGAAACUUUUCUUGUAGCCUCCGCUUCACCGUGUCGGGAAAGUAGUUCGCGAACACCGCUCUCUUGAACUCCUCCCAAAGCAUAAGCGGAAGAUCGGUAGGACGAUCCCGCUUCACUCGCUUCCACCACAUCUUUGCCGCUUUCUCAAGACAAUGGGUGGCAAGGUACACUUUAUCCUUCUCCGAGGUAUUCAAGUCCUCGAAGAGCGUCUCCAUUGAGUCAAUCCAUGACUCCACGAUCGCCGGUUCCACCAAACCGCCUUCAAAGGUAGGUGGAUCGAACUUCUUGAAUUGUAUAAGCGCCGCCAACGUGCGCUCCCGCUCCGCUUCUACCGCCGCACUAUCGGGAUUCGAAGUUCCCGACCCGGCCGGUACCACUGUAACUGGAACAGCUGCCGCCGCCGCCGCUCCCUCAACAACACUCGGCACUACCACAGGUGGCGCGACAUGCUCGACGCCCGCCUGGGCUGCCGCCGCCUGCUGGCGCUCCAAGGUCUCCUGGAGCCGCUGAAUCUGCUCCCCUUGGUGUUGAACAGACUCCGCUUGCUGCCGCACUACUCCAAUAAGAGCGGCCAUUUGCUCCCUAAGCUCUCCGUCGCCACUUGCUCCGGAUUGCUUGGGCACCGCAUUCGUUUCCUCCGGCAUCGACCUUGCCUGGGAUCGACGUCGAGGUGCCAUUGCUUCCUGAAAAAAAGCAACUCGUGUUAGUCACUUGACCAACAUUACUCGACCAUACCCAAUCUGGCGAAAGCAACAUGCACAUUCAUCCUUGCCUCAAGCGUCAUGUCGUCGGCCGCCCGACACAACACUAGAAGCAGAGGAUAAACGAAAAUUAAACUUAGCCUCUAAUCACAUUAGAGACGUUCCAACUUAACCCAAUCAUAUGCUUUCGCUAACUUUGAUCCCACGUCACUCACGUUNUCCAAAAAAAAAACUAAAUCCUAUAGGUCGACGUUCUACUCCUAUGAUUUAUUGGCGGUUUACCUUGUUUUUAUCAAAAGACACAGUCGGAAAAGUACAGGUGACGAGUAUAUUUUUCUACCCUAUUAACAGAUACAUGGGGAAUUUUGAAAAUUUUAUAGAUUAUAUGGUAAUGAAGACAAAAUAAAGUUUAUAUGAGGAACAUAUAAAGAGACAUUAAGUUUUUAUAGUGGCGCCAAUCGUGGGCAAUUCAAUAAAGCCCAACUAAUUUAAAGAUGGGCUUAAAUUUUUUUCAGUUUUAUAUAGAAAACGGGUACUGAAUUCCUGUUGAUUCUUCUAAACCACUAUCAUCUUUCCAUAUAAAUUUUUUUUUUUUAAUUUUAUAAAAAAAAACGGGGAUUGAAUUCCUGUUUAUUUUUUUUUCAAUCACUGUUAUAUUCACUUAUAAACUUUCCCGUUUUAUCAUUAAAAUGUCACUAUUAUCAACAAGGUCUUAGUUUGAGUAAGAUCUUCUUGUAAACUUUAUUGAAUCUUGCAAUUUUCUCACAUUUCUUAGUCCCCCCCCAUAUUUAUUGUCACUUAAACUGUAAGUGUGUGAUUUUUAACCGGGGUCAUUUCAAAACAGGUUGACUUAUCGUCCCGGUUCUGGAUGGUAAGAGGUCUUAUUAUCAUUGUAUGUUUAACCUUCAACUAAUUGAUUACCAAGAAGGUUCAGACUUAUCUACGAAGCGUGUACUAGUUUCGAGUGGGCUUUCUAUACUGACGACGAGUAUACAUAGAUAAAACAGUCAUUAUUUGUAAACACGCGCUCAAUUAGUGUGUGCGCUGCUCCAAAUUUAAAUUUUGUAAACCUCCGUUUUCCCAUUUUUUCUUUAUAUCUAAUUUCUCUGUCGGAUUUAUUUUCAGGUUCUCUUUUGUUACAUUCCUUUAAAGUCUAAUAACAGGGUGGUAUAUUUCCUCUUUGAUUCUCUUUUCGAAUUCUAUUUAAGUAAUAUUAUUUCGAAGGUUGUUCUCUUUAAAACAAAGAACUUCUUCUAGAUUGUGUAUGUUUUGAUUGUGACAGUAACUGUUUAAUAACUAAUUGUUUAUCUUUCUUAAUCAGACGACAACCAAUAUAGCGUUUAGCGUUUAGCUUCCGUGUAUGUGUAAUUUUUUUUUUUUUUUGUAGUUUGUUUUUUGACAUAUCAAAGUUCAGUUAGGAAAGGCUACGUUUCUGAUUUAAAUGUUAACUAUUUUUGGCGGCCUCAUUUAGUCAUCGGGGGUGACUUAAAUAUUGAUAGGAAAGAGUGAAAGCGGAAGAGGUAGAGGGCACAAAGAACCGAGAGCAACGAGCUGGGACUGCCUAAGACUGGCAUUAGCGACCAGCCGUGUGACUUAACCGACGAGCACAUGAGAACUGAACAGUCGCGGUAAAAGGCCUUGAAGAAGUAUAGGAGCAACAUGACGGGUCUCAGCAUGAGGCUUGGCGACAUACUUGGCUUCUUAGCCGACACCGGACCAGACUGAGGAAGCAACUCUAGGAGCUCUCUACGUAGAGGAAGAUCUCGGGCCUGUUAGACGAGUCAAAUUCUAUUGUAUCAAUUCCUUUCUUCCCCUCUCCCCCUGGUACACGUUGUUUAUUUUCGUCUUCUAAAAUUACGAUUUAACGUUCUUUUACAACUAUGGCAAAUUUUCAUCCCUCGUUUUGAUGGUUUCUUUUAGUUCCUUUAGGAGAACUAGGUUCUAUUCACAUAUCCUAUAACUGAGAUCUACGACAAAAUAAGUGUCUCUGUUGUAUAUUUAAUAUAUAUUUUUCAACCGUAUAUGGACCGAGUAGGCACCGGCUGCGAACCGUCUCACCGCGUGUGUUCGUCGUCGUGUCCGUUGGUACGCACGGUAGAGUAAUCGUAAUUUCAAGAAGGGGUUGGCAACUAGUUCUUCCCGUAGCAUCAACGGUAGAAGCUCACGAGCUCAUUCAUUUCCAGAACGGACGUUAUCCUUCACACUAAUGGAGGUAAUUUAAAUGUGUUAUGUUGAUGGUGUCUAUAAUAGACAACCAUAAUAAUUAAGACUUUGAGUUCUCAAAUUCCUUUCCAAGAAACAAAAAAAUAGUGAGAAAAAAUCUUUUCUUCUCGUUUUCAAACUUCCUAGUAUUUCUCUCCGAAUAUUUGAUUGUUUUAAUACCAUUCAACCUAAUUCGUUUUUGAUUGGGUCAGUUGGUUCGAUAGUAGGUAUUUACUAACCGAACUUAGUUGUCCAGCAGCAGGUCACUAAUCGAGUUCUUCGUAUUGAGGCUUUCUCUUCUGUAGUCUAGAUAGACACUCGAACGGUCUUCUACGUAUAAGACCACGGUCUAUGGAUGUCAACACUAAUUCGAUCGGUAGUCGUUAAAAAUUUGAAGAUUCUUAUAUUAUAAAACUUUCACCCAAGUAAUUCUAAAAGUAGUUUUAUUAAAUCGUUUCUACUAAUUAGAUAGUAGAUUAAGUUUCAUUACAUUGAUUUGUUCUGUUGUGAUAUUCGUACUCUCUAAGUCGAAUGGGUUUUCAUGGGUAAUGAGACCACCUUUGUACACACAACAAUAGUCUUCAUUUGAAACGCUCAGGUUUCAGACGAUGGACGUUUGUCUGAGGUCAAUUAUUUCCACUUUGUUACAAUUGUAUAAAACGUUUCUUAUUUACCGGGUUCGUCAAAACGUCCAGAUGCUAAUGUAAAUACUAGCUGGUAAACUAGUAGAUCACGUACGAAUUCUAAAUCAACUCGGAAAGAUCUUCACUCGAGAUGGUUUAUGAGUGUUGGCUUUGUUUUAGCAGUAGAUUAUUGAAGUAUAUGUCUUUUAAAAUAACUUCUAGAUCAGGUGGUGUUAUAGCGUAUCCUUAUAAAGGUUCGAGCCAAAUCAGUGAUUAAUUUCUUAGUCCAUCCCUUUAAACUUUUUACCUUCACGAUCAAUGGACUAAUUAUUUAGAUCAAUGAAAUCUCUAAGUCAGAUAAGUUUGAAGGUUUUCCCUUCUUGACUAAUAGACUAGUUAUCUUUAAUCAUCUAUGUUAGAUCUAGAUGACUUUUAAGUUAAUGUCCAGGUUUGAGUUUCUGGGUACUGUUUUGGGACUUGGGUUUCUUCUCUCAGUUUAUAAAGGUGGAGACAGGUAAUUUUAGAAUGUCGAUAUGAUAUGUUCUACUCUGUCAGUUUCAGCGAAUAGUUCGUAUCUACUGACGUCGUAUCAAUCAUGAAAAACAGUGUUAUCGUACUUACGUAAAAGGAGUACUCUAAAUUAAUCCCAUUUCAGUUUUUUUAACUCGGGUUGUCGACAGGUCAACUGAAACUAAGUUUGUAAAGUACGUCUAGUCCAUAUGAUAUCCUGUCGAGCUAAGGUUGGUUUUUGGUCAUGACUCAACUAGGUCAAUUACCCAGAUAAUUACAUUAUGUUGAGUAAACUUAAGGAAGGUUUUAAAAGACGGAGAAAAGCAUAUAGCUUGUUAAAGUCUUUUCAACCACGUAUAAUUGUUUUCUUGGACCUGUUUUAUAUGACUCGCAUCAUUUACUACACAAGAAGAACUACUACGUACACGUAUCUUCGAUUAAAUGUAUUCUAGUAUAAAUUUUAUCUUAUUCUCCUUUUUGAUCAUUUCUCCGUACUGGAUGGAAUCGGAGUUUAAAUAUUAGGUCUUCUUAUAAUCGACAGAAAUAUAGUGCUACUUAUUAAAAUCCUACCGGACGGUUAGUUUUAUUUAAAAUUACUCUUGUACGUACGGUAGUAAAUUAGUACUAAAUUUUGAUUCCUUAGAGAGAAACAAAAAUUUUUUUUGUUUCUUUUUCUUUUCUUUUUCGUUAUCGACUCCUAUAUUUGAUUGUUAGGAGUACUUCUAUACGGUCGGGGAAACGUCGCGGGUUUCGUUAGAAAUUAGAUUGCCCGGUAAGGUACCAACCAGCUGGAAAGGGACUUUUUUUCUCCUUAUUUUUCUAAGAAGUACUUUACCAGCUUCUAUAUAUUAAUCCCACCCAACCCUUGUUUUAAUUUAAUUUGUUUAUUAGACAUGUCCGUUUAGUAAGUAGUAAAUGUCGCUCAAGGAAAUCAGUUGAAGUUUUGGACUUCCGUGCAGAUAACGGAAGUAUACUCUUUGACGCGGGUCAACCAUAAAUAAUAGUAUAAACUCAAUCAAGUUUCUAUUUGUUGUUGUUAAGUUCCUCCAUUUAUCUUAAAAUCUAUGAAGAUAGUGUACCCGAGAAUGAAUCGUUCGGUAUAGCUUGUGUUGGUAUAUAGCUAUUUAAUCUAUUAUUUCUUCGGUUCUCCUAUUUUUACCUGUUGUGAAAAACGAGAAGUUUGUAUGUUUAAAGAGGAUUUUGUAAGAAAAAAGCGGCGAAAAACAUAUAAGUUUUCUGAUCUUUUCUUCUUAUGAUAAAUUAAAUGAAGUAAGAGUCUUAUCACACUGACUUUUUUCUUUUCUUCCAUCUCCAUCCUAACUUCUUUGUGAUACUGAAUCCACGUAUUGGUUUAAUUUUCCGUGUUAUUAGUUUCUUUUUCCACUCAUUGUUAAUGGUACGUCCACCUUGAGAUUACACAACAAGCCUUGCUUGAGUAUUUGUUCUUCGGAGACCGGGGGCCUGUACGUUAUAGGCUGGUUACUUUGGUUUACAAAUACCACCUGUGCCGACUACUAAAGUUGGAGACGAACCUUAAGCGCAAGCGGGACAGGUGAAGGUUAGAAGUUAACAAAUUGACGCUAGAGAAAUGGUAAGCCAUCAUAAGGAAACACGUGCAUAGGUUUUGGCGGAACUGGUUCCUCCAAUCGUAGUCUUUUCGGUAAUCAUCGGUAGUCGUUAAGGAGUAUCCAUUUUCACGAGAAGCUCUUCGGGUUCGGGUGUGGUCCCCUACCGCCCCCCUCGCCGAGUGGCGGCCUUAUCAAACUAGGCCUCGGGGGUGACAAUUUGUAUCCACCUCCUCCUCCGCCUCCCCUACCUAAACCCCCUUAAAACUGCUACACUAGCCGGCCACCCCGGGGUAACAAAACGGUCGAAACCAUGGAAGGCGGCGGUAUACCCAGUAGACCUCUGUUAAUUUAACCUACUUUUUGUUUUUGCUCUUUAUUGUUUGGCUUCGUUAUCACUAAAACGGUAAGUGUAAGUUGUUUCUUAAUAAUACUUUUUCUAUUCGGUUACGUUAAUUGAACCAAACCUAUCUUUGUUUCCAAAUAACUUGAAAGUUAGAUUGUAAAAACGAUGUUCCGAAAGGUAUAUAUAGGCGGUAUUUACAAUUUUAAAGAUGUUUUUUAUCUCUCUCUUAAACGUAGUUGGAUUCUAGCGUUAAAUACGGGACCAUUUUGAUCGUGAACUCUCAACUAAGUAUUUUUGUCACCAUAUUAACCCGGGGUAUGAGUAGAUUAGAUUACGUCUUCCUUUGUGGGCUUUUUUAUUCUUAAAAUAGUUUGGUCAGGAACUUCUACUUGGGAGAACGAUGGAAACCUACAGUGAAAGACUAUAAAUUUUCAAACGUGUUUCACGCAAAGUACUCUUGCGGAGAAGAAGAUUUACUGGCAACGAAAGUUUAAAGUUAGCUUAUUCAUUUAAUUCUAGUUGAGAUUAAGGAAGGUGUAAUAAUAAUAUGGGUUUUCGGGUCUUUUUCAAGUUUGUCUAGAUUCGUAAGAUGAAGGUUUUAAGCAUAAUCAUUAAUCCCAAAGCCUAGCAUGGGAACAUGCCGCCGCCGCCGCCGCCGCCGCCGCCGCCUCCGGGCGGCAUCGGCUCGACGCGGCGGCGCCGCCUCGCGAAGAAGAAGGACAUCGUCGUCUGCGUAUACUCCGAGCGCUCGUUCUCCUCCUGGUUAGGAGGCUGGCGCUGCGGCUGCUGCUCGCUGCAGCUGCUCCUCGAGGGGCUGCUGCCACCGCGGCUGCUGCCCCGCGGCGAAGGGCCGCCGCUGCCUCCGCAGCAGCUGCUUCCUCCGCAGCAGCUGCUUCCUCCGCAGCCGCCGAAGGGGCGGCCCCCGCCGCCGCUGCGGCGGCUUCCCCAGCGGCCUCCGCCUCCUCUGCGGCUGCCCCUCUAAAAAACAAGUAAUAAAUUAAUAAGGGAUAAUUUUAUACAGCUCACUGUAAAUAUAUCAAUAGCAGAUAUAUCUAUGUAAAGUUCAAGUUUUUAAAUUUACCCCUUCAAAAAUUCAAUGAUGUUCAUAUUUGCCAUUUGGUUUAUUACCGUUAGUUUAUUAUUUAUUUUUUAACAGAAGAUAAGUGAAAUGUCAAUUUUGCUAUUAGAAAUAUGCCUCUUCAAAAGUCUCAACUGUUAGAAUCAUACAAAAAUGUCCUCCCAAAAUUUUUCAAUGAUUAUCUUCUUCCUCUGUAAAUACUAAUCCAAUCCACCAUUAUUGUAAACUUCUUCUCUAUCUCUUCUCUCACUCAUUUUCUCUUUUACCUAUCUAAUAUUGAUUCCCUCUCGCUUGACAUGGGCAAAGCAACAUACAUUGUUAAUGAACGUGGACGAAGAAACCCUAGUUACGAAUUCGAAACUAGCAUAAAAGAGAGAGAGGAAGGAGAAAAGAAAAAGCCGAAACUAGAGGAAGAACUGUUUCCAUUGUUAGGGUUUUGAUCAAAAGGGUAUUUUGAUUAAGAGAUGAAAGUAUAAUAUCAGAGGGAUAAAAAGAUCAAUUACCUCACUCACUAACCAAAGUUAAGUUUUUUAUCUAUGCCACCUAAUUACAGUUUUCUAACAGACACUAAUACAUUUGAAACUAUUAGAACCUUUUGAGGAAUAAAUCUAAAAAUUCAAACUUUAUAGAAAUAUAUCUGCUAUUUUAUAUGUUUAUAGAGAAUUAUAUAGAAUUGUCCUAUUAAAUAAAUUACUCCUAACUGUUAUGCUGUGUAGGCCAAUUCAUUUUGUAGUGCUAUACUGAAAAAGAAAAAGACAUACGUUUGUUUUCUCUCUCUCCCUCUUUUCUCUCUCUCCACACAAAUUCCGCAUUCAUUUUAAUCAAUUAUCAAUAAUAUAGAAUUGAGAACUCAUACAGUAUUCACCUUAGAAAUCGUAUCCACACGUAAAAUAGGAUCACAAAUUACAAUUUUUAACCUUCGAAUAUCCAUCCGUAUUUUAUGAAAUUUUGCCAAUAAGCAAUCUAUAUUUACCUUUACUGCUUGUUCUAAGCUUCUCGAUCUUCGCGCCUGAGAGUAUCUGGAGAUGCCAACCCUCCUAAAACUAGGACAACCUGCUCAAUAUAACACUACUGCGUCACGAACAUCCUAAAAUGAUAUGCCAAAAAUAAUAAACAAACGGGCUCUAUUGCUACUCAUUUUUUUUCGAUGAUAGAGCCUCCAAAUCGACAAUCGGUAUCAUUGAAAAUGAUCUAUACCACUUGAAGUAUGUAGAAAUCAAAUUUCAUACUUUUUCGAUAUUAUUCUCUUGUUCAUCAAGUCGACGUAAAAAUUAACGGCUGAUGCAUAGAGUAGAGCUACUAUGCUAUCGGAAGUAUAGAGUAUCUGGUGCUUUUGAAUUUUUGGCCUUUAGAUCAACCCUUUGAUCAUUUUUAACCUUUGGAUUAAUAUUAUUACCUUGUGGGGACCACUCAACCCUAGGGAUACUACUCAAUCCUAGGGGAAAUCGCAAUCAUCCCAACUGUACGAUUUUUUAUUUAAAGGUCAAAAAGUCGGAAGUAUAAAACCCUCUAUACUUCUGAUAGCAGAGUAGCUCUACACUAUAUAUAUAUAUAUAUAUAUAUAUAUAUAUAUAUAGAGAGAGUUGAGCUAUGAUCGAUACUUUUACAAGUAUCAUCAUCAUGGUGCUAUUAGGUUUUAAGCCAUUGGAUCUACUUUUUGAUUAUUAAUAGCCCUUGGAUUAAACACUAUUCCACCUACCACCACCUACCACCAUCAUCUCAACCUCACAUCUCUCCAUCAAAGGGCUAAAAACAUACAAGUAUCACUCCCAUGAUGCUUUUACAAGUAUUCUAGCCCUACUAUAUAUAUAUAUAUAUAUAUAUAUAUAUAUAGUCCGUCUCCCGUACUUUCGAAAGUACGGGAGGCCCCGUACUUGUAAGUUGUUUUCGAUGAUAGGAAAAAAAAUUUUUUUCUUUAACAUAUGUCUAUAUUUAUCUCAAACUGACCCGAUGAUAGUUAUCAUUUGACGAGCCAAAUGAUGGCUAAAGAAAAACUACUAUUUUGAAGGUUUAGCUGCUAGCCGUAGCAACUUGUACUAGAUCUAGUAAAUUUAAUAGAUCUUCAGUUUAAAGUACUAAAAAACCGUAGUGAUUGACUUGCUAGUUUCCCAGUGUUUUAAUAUUAAAAUUACCGGCUAUACCACGCAAACGAGCAAAUUGCCAUAUCUUUUCAAGUUUAGUUGAUUUAAAAACAAUUUUUUAAGAAAUUUGAUAAAUUUUAUUGUAGAUCUGAGAUCUAGAGUUUAUAUUUUUAACAUAGUAGUGAAAAACUUCCUAUAAGUAAAGGUCAGUAAGUAAAAAGACAAGUGAACUACCUGUUCUCUUGUUAUAGCUUUUACACACUUUAAACUAAAGGUUUAUCAAAUUUAUCAAAUCUAGUACAAAUUGUCACGGCUAGUAGUUAAACCUUCGAGAUAGUAGCUUUUGUUUAGCCAUCAUUUGGCUCGGUAAAUGAUGGCUAUCAUAAGAUCGUCUUGAGAGAGAGAGAGAGAGAGAGAGAGAGAGAUAUAUAUAUAUAUAUAUUAACUCGAGGAUACGAAAAUUUUCAUGGUUCAAUAACCACGAACAUCUAAAAAUCGGUAACCUAAUUCUCUAUACGCCAAUCCUACUACACCCGGAGGAUCCCAACUCACCCACCAACCAACUUAUCAUAUUAGAUUACCAACUUUUACUAGGCUUCUCAUCUAGAUUGCCAUUUUUUGAAUGUUCGUGGUUUAUGAACCAUGAAAAUGUUCGUGGUAUCGACCUGAUAUAUAUAUAUAUAUAUAUCCGACCAUAUGAUAGCCAUGAUGGUUCAACAAAAGUUACUACGCCAAAAGUUUAGCUGCUAGUCGAGGCAAUCUGAACUAGAUACGAUAACUUUCAUAAACUUUUGAUUUAAAGUCUUCAUAUAGCUAUCAUAUGGUCAGAUCGAGAUAUAUAUAUAUCUCUCUCUCUCUCUCUCUCUCUCUCUCAGGCCGACCCCAUAAUAGCUAUCGUGAUUCCUAAACCACGAUAGCUCAAAAGGUGGCAAUCUAAAUUGGGAAACUUAUAAAAAUGGGCAAUCUAAUAUGAUAAGUUGGUUGGUGGAUGAGUUAGGAUUCCCCGGGUGUAGAAGCAUUGGUGGGUAAAGAGUUAGAUUCCCGAUUUUUUGAUUAUUGUGGUUAUCGAACCAGGAUAACUAUCAUAAGGUCGGAUCAAAAUAUAUAUAUAUAUAUAUAUAUUAAUACGAUGAUAUGAUAGUUAUCAUGGUUCGGGAACCAUGAUAACUCAAAAGCCGACAACCUACUUUCCUACACGCCAAUCCUACUAUCACCAGGGGCCAAUUUAACUAUCACCAGGGGAUACCAACUCACCUACCAACCAAAUUAUCAUAUUAGAUUGCCUACUUUUACUAGUUUCCCAGCUAGAUUGCCAUCUUUUGAGUUAUCAUAGUUCCCGAACCAUGAUAGCUAUCAUAUCAUCGGCCAGAGAGAUAUAUAUAUAUAUAUAUAUAUAUAUAUAUAUCUCGAUCCGAGGAUACGAAAGCUUUCAUGCCCUCCGGGACACGAACAUUCAACAAAAGCUACUACCCUGUAGAUUAAGCCGCUAGUCAAAGCAAUUUGAACUAGAUGCGAUAACCUUGAUAGAUCUUUGGUUUAAAGUAUUAAAAAACUAAAGCAAACAGGUCACUUGCUCAUCGGAGUUUUACUUGCCAACUUUUACUUUUAGAGUAUUUUUUGUCACUAUUUUCUAAGUUUAAAAUUUAGCCUUCAUAACUAGAACGAUGACUAUAAUUCAUCUUAAAAGAUAAUUUAAAAGUACAUUAAACCUAUGAAGAUGUGGCAACUUGAAUUUUUACACGAUGUAGCUGGCAAUUUUAUCAGUAAAAAAUCUGGAAAACUAGCGAAUCAUUUACUACAUUUUUUUUUAGAUUUUAAACCAAAGAUCUAUCAAGGUUAUCCCAUCUAGUAUGGAUUGCCUCGGCUAGCAGCUUAGCUUGCNUUUUUUUUUUUUUUUUUUUUUUUUUUUUUUUUUGCGUCUUCUCGUCACGUGCCGAGGCCUUGUUGCCUCACCCAUAUAGCUUAAUUCACGUUCUUAUUGAAUGAAGCGGGUAGCAUGCUAUCUUUCUCUCAAAAAAAAAAAAUAAUUACUCCUAACUGUUAUGCUGUGUAGGCCAUUUCAUUUUGUAGUGCUAUACUGAAAAAGAAAAAGACAUAUGUUUGUUUUCUCUCUCUCCCUCUUUUCUCUCUCUACACACAAAAUCCGCAUUCAUUUUAAUCAAUUAUCAAUAUAGAAUUGAGAACUCAUACAAUAUGAUCACCUUAGAAAUCGUAUCCACACGUAAAAUAGGACCACAAAUUAUAAUUUUUUACCUUCGAAUAUCCAUCCGUAUUUUAUGAAAUUUUGGCAAUAAGCAAUCUAUAUUUACCUUUAAUGCUUGUUUUAAGCUUCUCGAUCUUCGUGCCUGAGAGUAUCUGGAGAUGCCAACCCUCCUAAAACUAGGACAACCUGCUCAAAUAUAACACUACUGUGUCACCAACAUCCUAAAAUGAUAUGCCAAAAAUAAUAAACAAAAAAAAGGGUUAAUUUGCCAAAAACAUCAAAAAGGGUUAAUUUGUCAAAAACAUCAAACCAUUAUUUUGUCAACAAUAGUUAUAGAUAUAGAUCGUAAGCGCUAACCAAUAAUUUUAAAAAGAUGCAUGUGUUGAUAAAAAGGACGCACUCAUCACUCUAUCAUCUUAUUACUUAGGGCCCCGUGAUCUUAUAUAUAUAUAGCUAAGCUGGAAUACUAUCGGUAGCAAACGAGCUCCGUUGCUAUUCAUUUAUUUUCGAUAAUAGAGCCUCCAAAUCGACAAUCGAUACCAUUGAAAAUGAUCUAUACCACUUGAAGUAUGUAGAAAUCAAAUUUCAUACUUUUUCGAUAUUGUUCUCUUGUUCAUCAAGUGGACGUAAAAAUUAACGACUGAAGCAUAGAGUAGAGCUACUAUGCUAUCGGAAGUAUAGAGUAUCUGGUGCUUCUGAAUUUUUGGCUUUUAGAUCAACCCCUUUAAUCAUUUUUAACCUUUGAAUUAAUACUAUUACCUUGUGGGGACCACUCAACCCUAGAGAUACUACUCAAUCCUAGGGGAAAUCGCAAUCAUCCCAACCGUACAAUUUUUUAUUUAAAGGUCAAAAAGUCGGAAGUAUAAAACCCUCUAUACUUCUGAUAGCAGAGUAGCUCUACACUAUAUAUAUAUAUAUAUAUAUAUAUAUAUAUAUAUAUAUAUAUAUACCAACAACAUAGUAGCUCUANAUAUAUAUAUAUAUAUAUAGUUGAGCUAUGAUACUUUUACAAGUAUCAUCAUCAUGGUGCUAUUAGGUUUUAAGCCAUUGGAUCUACUUUUUGAUUAUUAAUAGUCCUUGGAUUAAACACUAUUCCACCUACCACCACCUACCACCAUCAUCUCAACCUCACAUCUCUCCAUCCAAGGGCUAAAAACACACAAGUAUCACUCUCAUGAUGCUUUUACAAGUAUUCUAGCCCUACUAUAUAUAUAUAUAUAUAUCCAACCGCAAAUCUUUUUCUAUCCCCAAUUUUUUUCUUUUUUUCUAUCACCUUAUUAUUUAGGGUCCAUAAUCUUUAUAUACCAAAUUGUAAUUCCUUUUCUAUUAUACUUAAUGUAAUGACCCAAUUUACUAUCAAUAAUAAUUUCUUGAAUUUCUGAUUUUUAUAUACGCCAUCGUAAUUUCUUUUUUAUUCAAUAUGAAACUAUUGGGGCGUUACAAUCUUAUAAUUAAAUUGAUGUAAAACAGAAGAUCGGAUAUCAACAUGUUGAUAACGGAUUAGAAGUAUUUAAUAAGAAGAAGGGAAACUUCAAUUUGUCCAUUGGUAGAUUGGCAUUUUUCAUGUAUUUGCCACUAUCUGUGACUUAAAAAUCUGCACUUUAGAAUUAAUAAGAUUGUGCCAUGUAAUAUUUUACCAUCCUAUAAUCUACACUUUACACCUAUGUGGUUCGCAGAAAAUAGCACUACACUAUCAUAUUUAACUCUUAGGUACUUAUAGUGAACCGGAAAGAAAAUCAUAAGAUUGUUAAGUGUAAUUUUUUAAGACAAAUGAAUAUUUACUUGAGUCAUAGGUGGCCGAUAUUGUGGCGACCAUCGCACGCAAGCAGACGCACAUGCGACCAUCCGCCGCAUCUCGCCGCGAUCGUAGUUGUUCUCCAGCCUCGGAUCGACGAGGGCGUCAUAGUUGCCGUCGUCGAGCAAUGCUUCUGCGAGCGGCAACCUGGCCUGCAACAAAAUUUUGCAAUUUUCCUCUAGAAGAGAAAUGGUAUGUUCUACUGGGUAAAAAUGUAAAGAGGUUACCUUAAUUGCAUGUAGUGUAUCUUAAGUAGAACAAAUAUCUAAAAUUCAAAGAUUAUUUUUUAGAAAAUAAAUUAGAAAAAAAAAUUGAUUUUACUAUCUAAUCUAUGAUCCUUUUGACUUCUUAAAAAUUAUUUAAAAAGGUUUGUCAAAUCUUAAUGGAAUUUUGUAGUACACUUCGCUGAAAAAUGAUUUCUUGGAUACACGGAACAUCGUACAGACCAGGUAAAAAAUAAAAAAUAAAAAUGUUGGUAAUUAAAUCUUGAUUGAAACAUACUAAAUUAGCCGUUUUAGAAGAUUUUAUAGAGUCCGGCUACAAUGCUAUUAAUAGCACCAAGUACUUAGUUCAUCCAAGAGCUAAAUAAUUAAUAGAAUAAAUAAUUAACUUGGUGCUAUUAAUAGUAUUCUAACCCAGUGCAGAUUUUAUAUUGUAAUUUAUAUUUUUUAAAUUCAAUUUCUAAUUUGAAAAUACGACAUCAAUACAUUUUUUACCUAAUAUUUAUAUUAGGAGUUGUUUGGUUCCUAAGAAAAAGUACGAAAAGAAAAAUUUCGAGUUACGAAUAUUUUUUUUUCCAGUUUUAAGUUUAUUCAGUUCCAAGAAAAACUAGCUUUAAUUUCUAAAAAAUAGAAAUUCUAGAUUUUCUAGAAAAUGUGCUUUUAUUCUGGAAAAAAAUACAUUCAGAAAAUGAAAAUGCUAUUUUUUUUUUUUUUUUUUUUUCUGAGAAACUGAACAGCCUCUAAAGAUCAAAUAAGAAGCAGGAAAAGAGGAGAGUUGGAAUUUAAUUGGGAGAAUGAGAACAAACCCAAUCAACCAAGCUUUCCAUAUGUUGGGAACCAGUCAAAGCAACAUCACAUAUGAUUGGCUUUUUUCCAGUGAUGAGCUCCAGAAGCACUACCCCGAAUGAGUAGGUAUCUGAUUCUUCUCUAAGCUCACCUGUGUUAGCAUAUUCUGGGGCAAUGUACCUGUAACCAUCAUAUUCGCAAAUCUAAAGAGCUUGCAUGAGCUAUGUCAAUUGGAAAUGUUACAUGCAUGUACUUCUAUUUAUAAAAAUAAAUGUGACAACCCUUUUCAUUUCAUAAUACACUAAAGUUUAAAAUGGAUUUUAAUUUAAAAAUGUAAAAAAAAUUGAUAUGUUAAGUAAAGAGUGAGAGUCUUUGGAUGAGUGGAGUGUAAAGUAUAUAUAUAUAUAUAUAUAUAUAGAGAGAGAGAGAGAGAGAGAGAGAGAGAGAUAGUAGGGCUAGAAUACUUUUACAAGUAUCACCCAAGUGAUACUUGUGUGUUUUUAGCCCUUGGAUGGAGAGAUGUGAGGUUGAGAUNAUAAGCAAGAAGUAUGCUCAACAUUAAAUAAAUGCAGAUUAUGCAAACUCAUUCGUUCUUUGACUUUACUUUGUACUUUGUUCUUUAUUCUUUGCUCUUUGUUCUUCGUUCUUUAAUCUCAAGGCUAACCCGGGGGUAUCGCCAUAUUGACUUGCUUCACAUUAAGUCCAUCAUCGCAGGAACUCACCAGCUAGAACCGUCCUUCGGAUUUACUCCAACCCGGAUGCCAAACUCCGGAGCGCAUCGCCUGCUUAGGAGCCGGUAGUGUUACGUGUGCUCGGUAGAGCAUGUAGUGUGAGACGACGGUUACAGGUACUGCUUGAGGACGAUCCGUGCCUGGACCACUUGUGGACUACCGAGCCUGGGGCCUUAUGGACAGGUGCAGUCGGCUGUGUGUGACAGCGGCCCGAUACCUACGGGUAGGGCGUGGUUUGGUCGGGGCGGUAGUCCGAGCUUGGACCCGGGUACGUGGAGUGCCACGUGUUAGAUCGUGUGAUUGAUGAUGCACUGAGAGUGUGGUUGUGACCCAACCCGAGGAUAUGUAGUGGUUUAGGGUCAUGGUUGCUCCUGGUUGGAGUGUGUGCGAAUUUCCAAAUGAGAAUUUCUCCCAGAAAUAAUGAUUGGGUCUACGCUUGCGAGCGAGAGACGUUGCGCGUAUUGAGACAGGUUAGACGGUAGGCCUAUGUAGGAUUGGUGGCUUGUGAUCCACCCGUGGAAACCGAGGAAAGCGGUUUAGCCGAUAACACUGUUGACGAGUUUGGCUUGGAUUCACGAACGGAGUGUUCAUCUGAGUUCGUUGUAGGAACGAAUUCGAAUUGGUCGUGGCUUACGGUAUCAAAGGAUGAAAUGCUCCUGUGAGACAUUGAGCUAAUGGUAAGCCACGUGAGAUUUGAGGAUAGUGCUCUCAAGUGGAUUGGAAUUGGAGACGUGUCGAAGUACGCCAUCUCGUAGUAGAGCAGAGAUUCGGAUGUAGACGAAGCACUCGCGAUUGGUCGAUGCACCAACGAUAUUGCUUCUAAGCAUUGUCGGUGAUCGAAUAGGAGUGUGCUCCCCGAUUAGGUGUGUAAUGCAAAGAGCAGUUCUUUUCAUGCUGGUAAUGCACUUUCGGUGUUGCACUUGGUAAAUGUGCAUGAUUUUAGUCUCAUGUCCUCUAUAGUGGGCCUUCGGACAGUUCAGAUGAGUGUAAGGCCACUUCGGAGUGGGAAAGUGCAUUGGUGUCCACGAUUGCUCGGUAAGUCUUGUUGAAUUGUGAUUUGAGUUUCAGGGACGAAAAUCCAUUUAAGGAGGGGAGAGUAUAACAUACCGAACUUCUAAAGUUAUGAAGUUACAGGUAUGUUAGCUUGGAAAAGUUGAUCGGGAUAGUUUCGGUGAAGUUCGGGAGCAUUCGGGCGUUUUCGGAACGCGUCGUGCACGAAAAUGGAACCCGAAAAGCUAUGAUUGGACCUUGGCCGAAGUCCGGCAAGGUGUGGGCGAAAAGAUGGUUUAAACGCGCUCGAAAACAUGCAUUGGGGGUCUCGGUACGAUUAGAGAUGAAUAGGAGGUCCCAGGAACGAAAACGAGCGAAAACAGACCAAAAUUGGCAAAAAGCUGAAAUUUUGGCUAAGUCUGAAGAAUGCUGAUUUUCUGGACCUAUGGGGUCCGAACCUCGUACAUUGUAUGGAUUGUGAUGCCUAGGACAUACAGGGGAGACUCUAUCCGUUCGGCAGUCUGUCGGCGUGCCCGAAUCCGACCAAAUAGGCGGGUCUCGAGGCGUAACAGUCGUAACACCAAAUCAUCACAACAGAAUAUCAAAAAUUAAAGCAAGUUUUUUAAUAAUAUAGAAAAUUUGGUGUAAUUUAAAAUUUACAAAAAUAUAAUGUCAUGUUCUCCUCCUAGUCCCUCGACCACAUCUAUCUACACGUCUCGUACCACAUCCGCGACCACGAUCAACACCAUACUCAUCAAAGGGCCCUAAGACCUCCAACUGGUCAAGAUGCUCGAUAGCAGCACCUUCAAUAACUGGCUGAGUGUCCUGCGUCUCGAUCACCCGUCUGAUCUCCUGCUCAAUCAUAACAGGUGUCGGUAGUAUGUCUGGCCGUGGAGGAGCUGAAGAGGAGGGCUGAUCUGUAUAAAGAGACUGCAACUGCCGUCGGUGCCUACGAUAAACAAUAUCGACUGGCCAAGGUGGAUCCUCUUGUACUGGUGCUGGUACUAUGUCUGGAUGAUAAGGUGGGUCCUCUAUUGAUGAAGAUGACCUUGGUGGACUAUACACUGGUACAUGGCCUGACGUCGAUGGUCCACCAUGUUCUACUGGCUGUGGAGGUACAGUAUAUGGAAGCGUAGGUAAAGUCUCCAAAACUGCUCCAUCUGAUCGGUAACGUGUGAUAGGGAGUCUAAUACUCCACCAUAUGGAAUAUCUGGCAGGACACCUUUAAUCGUAUAAUGUGAUCUCUGCACGAUAUCGACCUGAAAUAAAAACACCAUUAUAAAGAUUAUACUAAACUUUUUUUAUAUAUAAAAAUAAAUGUAAAGAGAUAUUAUAUAUUAAAAUCAUACCAAUACUCUCUCGACGUGACCAUGUGGCUGAUACGCAAGGGGUGGCCUCUGUACUGGCCUAGAUAUCCACCUCCUGGUGAUCCUCCAAUACCAAUGCAUGUAAACAGUGGUAGCUCGUAUAGGAUCUGGAUCUACCUCAGGGUCCACCUCUACUAUAUCCACCAAUCUAUCAUCCCAACGCGGAAUAUAUGAAGUAUGGUAUGCCGCCCAAUUCUCAUCUACUUUACCUCGUGAAGUGAUCCGAGGUAUGGCAACCACUGCUUCAGGUAUAUGUUGUAACAGACCAAACUGGCGAAGCACAUGAUCUGAAAGAUGUAGCUCAAUAAUAUGGAAGCAAACUAAGGUGGUCCUAGAUCGCAAAACCUGGGACCCCGCUAGACAAAAAGGUGGGAGCGUCUCUAAUACUGUAUCUGUAUAAGGCCUAUAUGUAAUUUAUUGUGAAAAAUACAUAUGGUUACUUACCCAAAUAUUUUAAAUCUAAUGUGCAGUUAUAAUAAGAUUGAGUUACUUUCAUUUACCUGAGACUCUAGCUGCUGAUCAAGCUGAUCACGAUAAAACUCAAUGUCAGUAGUCCUGAUAUUGUCCCGAAAAGCCAGCCUAGUAUUCCACUUUAUUCAUUUAUAUCAUAUUAGUCAUAAAUAAAUAGUAUAUAGAAAACUUAAAAUGAAAAAAUACUUACUUACACCCUAGUGGCAUGUCGACAAGCUCAGGUUGGGGUCCAACUAUCUUAGGGCGGCCAAUGUGCAGGUGGUCCCAUUCUCAUAUCUAUACAAAAUAAUAGUUAGAAAUUACAGCAAAAACCAUGACUUAUAUAGUGCUAGUAAGGCAAUAUACCUGAAGUAAUGUCCCAAAACAACAACACUCGACCUUCCUCUUCAUGGAAGCAUUUCCUAAUGCACGAUGGAGAUGAGCUAGCACGGCUGCACCCCAUGCCAACUCACCGCAGACAUCAAAAUCCUCUAACAGUGGCAACCAUUUCAAAUGCACUCUAUUCCCACUUAGAUUUGGAAAAAAAACUACAUCCCAUCUCAAAUAGUAUAUAUGCUCUCGAUGUAGCUCGUACAAUAGCGGGAGGUUCAUCUAAGGCGAUAUCAUAAAAUUGAUGGUAUAACCAGUCUAUCUUUAUCUCACCGCCCCUAAUAUCCUCAGGAAUCACCUCGAGAAGUAGCCCGCAGAGCUCUGGCCACUGAUAUGAUGCCCCUCCAGUCACAGCCCCACCAUGGACGUAGAGCCCAGUAAUAAUAGCGACGUCCAUCAAAGUAAUAGUCAUCUCUCCGUGUCGUAAAUGAAAACUCUGCGUCUCCCUCUGCGACCUCUCGACCAAUGAUCCCAAUAAGGACUGAUCUAGCUGUAGGCGCCGUAAUCGUGAAACAUAAUAAAAUCCUACUCGUCUCAAUAAGUCCAAAACUGCGGGAUGCUCAAUUUGCCAUCGGUUCAUUUUACGGCCAUGCUCCGUGAAUUAAAUAGGAGAAUAACCCUGCAUGAUUGUGAAUGUCAGAUCAAUAUUAGUACAUAGUUUAUAAGUAAAUUUGAAAUGUUUAAAAAAAAUCACCUUCUCUCUAAUCAAAGUAGAUCUAUAUUGUGGCUGCUCAGUCAUGACGGAUGUAUCAAUCGGUCCUGGCUCCUCAUGAUCGUCCAGUCAAAUAAAGUUAGUGAGAAACAAAAGGAUGUAACAUGAGUACGUAAGAAUAAAAUAUGAAAAAAGUUAAGUAUAAUUUUCGUAUAGAAAAACCUAGCGACGACGUCUCUGAGUCAUUCUUUGCUGGUUUUAAGGACAUGUGCUUUUAUAAUGACCAGGUUGUUUACACGUACUGCACUUGCCCCUCAUAUUCCCAACGUCUUCGUUUAUAACAUUACGGAUACGCGUAGAUAUGGGUUGUCCCUUUUUCCUUCUCCCGCAUGGUGGAAGUAUAGGUGAAUCAUAUGACUCGAUCCAAUAACGACAAUCGAGAACGAAGAGGAACUACAGUUCAUAAGCCUUACGAUAGGAUGCAGCAGUAUACCAAGGAGAAUAUAAGCCAUAAUAAUCUAUGUCUAUAUGUGAAGAACUACAACAUGACAAAAUAUGUGAACAAGAGAUUUCUGUGAGUUGCAAACACAAACAUGAAUAUGUAGAAGCUAUUCCAUUGAUAAUUACUUGGUAUUGAUCGUCCCCGCUAGUAAGUACGUCGAAUUCGUGAGCUCCAAAUUGUCGAACUAUAUAUGCUCUAGCACAUCUCAUCUGGGUAUUGAUGGUGUUUUCAACAGUCGAUACAAACUGCGUAGAUAUUGCAGCUGAAAGAUAUGGAUCCCAAGGAUCUAAAAGGUAAAUAACACCUAGAGGGGGGGUGAAUAGGUGUAAACGGCAAAACCAAAUAAACUUGAUACAAAUUAAAAGAGAAUGCGAAAAAUAAAAUCAACACACCGAGAUUUUAACGUAGGAAAACUCCAAUCCGGAGAGAAAAAUCCACGGGACCGAUCACGCAAAGAAAAUCCACUAAGAAAACUUGAGUACAAGUGAUUUAAUGAAAAUACACGACUCAAUUUACCGAAUCCUCGUUGUAGAUUGUCUUUGCCGGUCCUCGAUCGCUUGGAAUCCUCCAACCGAUCACGCCGCAAGUCCUUGCAGCAAACACGCCUCGACUCCACGAAACACCCACCGAAUCCACGGCCUUCACACACGAUCCAUGUGCAUUCACUCCAUCCGAAGCUCGUUGAGAUCACAAUUUGUGGUGAUUGAAACACUUAGGAAGCACAUAUAAUAUGAGGAGAAACCCUUCUUAGAACCUCAUCGAUUUGAUCGUCAUGAAAUUCGUGAAUUGGACUCAAAGAAUCAAAUUAAUGAUCUAAGAACUUGAUACUUAAAACAUAGAUCAAAAGCUCCAAAUCAAGGUUUUUGAGUUUCUAAAAUAUUAUCUCUCAAAGCAUAUAUCAUAUGGGUAUCCUCAUAUCAUAUUUAUAGGUUUAGAAGACUUAGAAGUAGACUAGGAUUGCAAAAAUACAAUUUUAAAAACUGAUGUCGUCCUCAGGGACCGGUCCUCUCGAGGAGACCGGUCUUUGGGAGACCGGUCCCUCAAGUGGGAGACCGGUCCCUCGUUGCGUGCUUGAAAACACAGGCUUCGGGAACCGGUCUCUCAUUCCAGAGACCGGUCUCUCGCUGCGUGACAGAAAAUCCAUCGUUCGGGAACCGGUCUCACUUUCCAGGGACCGAAGUGAGACUGGUUGCCUUAACAUUUCACGCAGAGAGGACCCUCGAGGACCGGUCUCUCAUCUCAGGGACCGGUCCCGGAACACUGAAAAGCCCAGAAUGAAUUUAUCAAUACAAUCUAAGUCUUCUAACAUAUUUUGAAAGUUAACAUCACCACAAAUGAUCGAUACUUCAUACCUGUGGUGUUGAGCUUUUCGAAUGAGUCCUUGAGCUUCAAAUGAAUCUUCUUUUCCAAUAACUUCGUGUUUAACUCUUCAAGACUCCAUUCGACUUUACGAAAUUCGCCAACCUAGAAAAAUUCUUAACAAUCUCCCCCUUUGGCGAUUUCGUGACAAAACAUAUUACAACGCUCGUUCAAAAAAUAGAAACUGUAAAAAGAAGAUCAUCGCAAUCACCAAACGACAAUCUCCUGCAUGAUCGAUCCAAUAAAAGAAAAAUUACAUUUUUCUCACAAUCCUAAAACAAACUCUAUGACUUAGACAUGGAGUCUUGAAGUCUUGAAAGUACCUGCAAAAUCAUUCUCAAAACACAAUCAAGAUUCAAAAAUACUUAUCAUAUCAAAAGAUCAAACAUCCACAAGUCAUAGUUCAUCUAAAUACAUCCACAAUCUAAGUAAGCAUCAAAGUAUGCAUCAUCUAAGUAAGCAUCAUCUAAGUACAUGACGAAGGCAUCAAAGUAAGCAUAUCAGCAUCAUCAUCAUCUCCCGCUUUUUGUCAGAAAACGCCAAAACGACAAAAAGAGGAAUCCCGCAAAACUCAGUCUGAGUCAGCAUCCAGCGGAGGAAGAUCGGAACUACAGCAACCCAACUUAUUAAAGAUUGCCUUCAUUAACUGUUUCAGUUUGCCCACAUCCUUUCGUAGUCAUACUUGCUCCGCAGAAAGUUUCUGAAGCUCUUCAGAUAGACGCUGUUGCUCACGAUAUACAAAAGAUACUGACACAUCCUCGUCAGAUACCUCAACGGGAUGUGAAGAAGUAGGAGCAUCAGAAGGCGGAGCAGCAGGAGGCGUAGAAGGUCGCUGGGACGGAGAUCGAAACUGCACAUAUGACUUUACAAACAUCGUCUCACCGAUCCUUCCCAGACUAUGUUCAUACGAUGCACAUCGCGUAUCCGCAUCAAAUAGGCGCAGAAUCCACAUAAUAAUCAAAGGGAAGGGCAAUCGCUCAUUUUGACCUGACGUUUUAAUAUCCUUCGCCAUUCUCCGCCAAAUCAGAAAUGGAAUGUUCAUAUUAAUGUUCCUUGCUUUAACAAUAUCUGGGUUGCGCAACAUGUACAUGUAGAGAAUGCAGUCCCAUCUCAAAAUCUUCGUGUUUGCCAGAGGCAAAAUGUUAUAACAAACCACGAAGUUCAAAAACCUGUAUUCCAUCUUGAGAUCUUUAGACAUUACCAUAAGUCCAUUCGAUUCUGUACCCGGCAUACAAAUAACAUUCACAACAUGUUGCCAAUCCCGAAAGGAGUCAAAACCUGCCUACAAGUAGUCAACUCCAUCAGUUCGAGCAGCCAUCUCCAAUACUGAUGAUAUAAUGUCAGGCGUGAUAGUUAACUCCACACCAUGUACUGAAGUGGUGAACAUGUAAGGACCGCCAUCAGGCUCACACAGAUGUCUCGCUCGCAUAUAGAAUUCUCUUAUAAGAUCCAGAUAGUACCCGGUUUGCUCAGGGAACUCACAAAUCUCAUGUAGAUUUCCAUUUUCAAAUAGAGCUUGAAAUGACGGAACACGCUCUAUUAUAUUCGCGACUCCAACUACACGCUCACCAAUACACUGUUUUGAAGAGUACAUAGAGCGAUGACGGGAAUCAAUCGGAACUUCUUGAGCACUGGUUUCCCGAAUCUCAAUACCUCCUGUUUUCUUUCAACCACGAGUAUAUGUCAUUUGCUCCUUUUCCUUUCCUUUUUCUUUUCCUUUCCCUUUGCCCUUUCCUUUGUCUCUGUCUUUCUCAGGAGUUGCAGGUUCUUUACCCUCCUUCUUUGAUAAAACUUCAGGAGUCAAAGCUUCCUAAUCUGUUGACUCAGCUUCAGACUCAUCCUCAGGUGCAUAUUCACUACCCACAUCCUCAACAGGUUGCUCAACCGGUUGCUUAGCAGAAGAACGCUGACGUUUACUUCCCCGUCCACCACCGGCCAUAAGGAACACAAGGACAAGCAAUAGUGAAUACAUUUUGAAGAAACCCCUAUUGAAAACGAUAGUCGAAAUAUGUUGAACAUAAGAAUACCAUAUUUUGACGAGAAAAUUGGUCAAAAUAAAAACUGUAACUAGAUGAUCCUAGGGCCAUGAAAAGUCCAAAUAGAAGCACAAAUCACUGCCAAAACAUGCAGCACAGCAAGUGGAAACCCAACUUAUGCAAAAAAAAAUGGCAAAAGAAAAAUGCAGAGCACACAAAUCACGUAAGAAUGCCAAAACGAGAGAUUUGAUCAUGCAAGGUUGAAAAUCAAAGAGGUUCAAUGCAUAUAAAUUCGGAAUCAUCAUAAAAAAUUAAGCAAAAUGUGAAAUCAUUACCAAAACGCCAGUUAUAAUUGAUGAAGAAGGAGGAAAUGAGUCUCUGGAACCUUAGACAGUGUUUGGGAAAAGAUUGAAUCGAAAGAGUAGAGAGAGAAAAUCAAAUCGAACCGAACAUCAUAUAAGGGUUCAGGCGGAGGGACCGGUCUCUCAAGCUAGGGACCGGUCCCCGAACCAUGAAAUACAAAAAUUUGUUUUAAAGUUUUAUUUCUUUUUAAACAAAACGUCCAAUAUCAAAAAUAAAUCUAUAUGAGUUCCCAAUGACCUUCAAUAUAAAUUUCAUAAAUAUAUUUAAACGAAGUCAAUUUCAAGAAUAUUCAAAAUGUUAAAAAUUUUGAACCGACAAACCGAAUAAAUUCUAGAGAAGUAUAAUGCGAAAUCCCACACAUCAGUCAAGAUCUAAAGUUUAUUGUAUUGUAUUAUCGUCAUAUUCGCUAAAAUGAGGAAUGAAAAGAUCCCAUAAUGCUGAAAUCAAGAUGAUAUGUUCAAAUUGAGUUAUGCACACUAACGGAUGAAGGAGUGGUUCUUUGAGUAUCUUUUCAUAAUCCACCUUAUAUCACCUAGGAGAUAUCUGACAUAAAUUUUAUCAUCUCCAAAACACCUCAUAGAUAUUUAUUUAACUCUGAAAAAUUUCCAUUCAUCUUCAGAUGCAUUUAGCUUUUUAGACAUGCUUUAAUCAAACAUGUGGUAGCUGCACACACUGACCGAAAGACCGGGGUGGUAGCUCUUUCUCCAUGUGGUGGUAGUUUUUACACUCCCAAAAGGGAUGUAACUUUUUCCACAUUCUUUGAUUUAUCAACUUCAAAUAUCGGAAAGACUCCCCCUAAAUUAGUGCAACCUCCAAGUUGAAAAUAGUAUCACAAGUUCAAAAAUAGGGAAAUCGUUAUUCAUAUCAUAGCUCAUAAUGAAACAAGACAAAAACAAUAUUUAAAGUUCAAAGAAUGAUGUGUUGAUUUUAACAAAUUAUACUGAAACAGAAUUUAAAUGGUUCAAUCUCUCAACAAUCAUGACACCAAAGAAUAAAAAUGAUAGUGACUAAGCAAAACAUAUUAUGAAACAAUUAAAAGCACGUCAUGGAAUUUUCAACAAUAAUCAUGUAAAAACAAAAUAUAUGCAAAGAAACAAAAUAAAAUUUGUGCAUGAUCUAUGGCCCGUAGAAUACAUCUAGACUGAAGGAUUCAUACCAAUAGCCUUUCGCAAAUGUAGAAAACGUUUUUGAUCUAAAGGCUUUGUCAAAAUAUCAGCGAGUUGAUUUUCAGUAGAAAUGUAUUCAAGUUGAAGAACAUUUGAUUCGACCAAUUCUCUUAAAAAGUGAUAUCUUAAUUCAAUAUGCUUUGUUCGAGAAUGUAAAACAGGAUUUUUUGAAGUAUUUAUGGCACUUGUGUUAUCACAAAGAAUUGUAAGAGUAGUGGAAGGGAUCCGAUAGUCGCUAAGUAAAUUUUUCAUCCACAACAACUGAGUGGAGCAACUACCAGCAGAAAUAUAUUCAGCCUCAGCAGUGGAGACUGCAAUGCAGUUCUGUUUCUUACUAUGCCAUGCAACAAGACAAUGACCAAGGUAAAAUCACCCUCCACUAGUACUUUUCCGAUCAUCAGCAGAACCAGCCCAGUCCGCAUUGGAGUAUCCAAUCAAAUCUAGAGAUAUUCCUAUAGGAUACCAGAUGCCAUAUGCGGUUGUACCUUUAACAUAUCGAAUAAUCCUUUUAAUUGCUUUCAGAUGAAUUUCCUUGGGGUUAGCUUGAUAGCGAGCACAAAUCCCAACACUAAAAGCUAUAUCCGGUCUACUCGCAGUCAAGUAUAGUAAACUCCCAAUCAUACUCCGAUAUUGUUUCUCAUCCACGCUCUUUCCAUCAGAACUCAAACCAAGCCCUUUAUUACUUGUUCCCAUCAGAGUGUCAAAAUCCUUUGCUCCAUCCAAUCCGAAUUUCUUAACCAAUUCUUUCGCAUACUUGGUUUGUGACAAAUGAAUUCCAUCCUUUGAUUGUUUAACUUGAAGACCAAGGAAAUAAUUAAGUUUCCCUAUCAUCGACAUCUCAAACUCGCUUGUCAUCAACUUUGCAAAUUCAUUAGCAUCUUUAUCUUUAGUUGCCCCAAAGACGAUGUCAUCAAUAUAAAUUUGUGCCACAAUAAAAUCCUUUUCUGAGUGUUUUACAAAAAUAGUUCUAUCCGCUCCCCCUCGGUUGUAGCCCUUUUCUAUAAGAUAUUUUGUCAAACGCUCGUACCAUGCCCGCGGAGCCUAUUUAAGUCCAUAAAGUGCAUUUUUCAGUCGAAAAACAUGAUUUGAAAAUUUUGAGUCUAUGAAACCUUUCGAUUGUUCAACAUAAACUUUCUCUUUUAAAAAUUCAUUUAAAAAUGCACUUUUCACAUCCAUUUGAAAAGGAGUAAUUUUAAAAUGACAGGCAAUCGCGAACAGAAUACGAAUUGAUUCAAGACGAGCAAUCGGGGCGAAGGUUUCAUUAAAAUCUAUUCCCUCAAUUUGUGAGUAACCCUGAGCAACAAGUCUAGCUUUGUUUCAAACAAUAGUACCAUUCUCAUUUUUCUUAUUCUUGAAAAUUCAUUUGGUACCAAUUAUGCGUUGUUGCUCAGGUCAUGGCACUAAUUCCCAAACAUCAUUACAAACGAAUUGACAAAGUUCCUCUUGCAUAGCAUUUAUCUAAUAUUCAUCCAGAAGAGCUUCGUCAGUAUUCUUAGGCUCAAUUAAAGAUACAUAACACGCGAAUUCGCACUGAAGUUGACUUCUUGUUCUCACACCAAUUUGAGGAUCUCCUAUCACAUUGGAUAAUGGGUGAUCUUUUGAUACUCUCAUGGGUGUAGUCUCCGAUGACGUACUUGGAAUUUCAGAUGAGUUACUUGGGGUUUCAGAUGAAUCAUGUGAUGCAACAAUUUCAGAGGGUGCAGAAUUAUCAGAUGCAGAAAUAUCAUCAUUCACAGGCAAUACAAAUAGAGAAUCAUUUUCAUCAUCAUUCAACAAAGCAUUGGAAGAACCAAUACAGAAGAUCCUACAGAAGAAGCUUCAUCUAUUUUUAUAUUAAUAGAUUCUAUCACCGUCUUAGUAUGCAAAUUGUACGCACGAUAUGUUCGGCUUGUAGUAGAAUAACCAAGAAAAAUCCUUUCGUUACUUCGGGAGUCAAAUUUUCCAAGAUUUUCAUGAUCUCGAAUGAUAAAACACUCACUCCCGCAGACAGAAAAAUAUUUGAUAUUCGGUUUUCUACCAAGCCAUAGUUCAUACGGAGUGCUUAAAGUACCCGGGCGCACAUAAAUCCGAUUGAUAACAUAGACGGCAGUGUUAACAGCUUCAGCCCAAAUAUGCAAUGCAACUUUUUUACUAUGAAGCAUAACACGAGCCAUCUCUUGUACAACCCGAUUUUUGCGUUCAACCACUCCGUUCUGUUGUAGUGUAUAAGGAGCAGAGAAUUCAUGUUUAAUGCUUUUUGAAACACAGAAAUCAACAAAUUUUGAAUUUAUGAAUUCUCCCCCUUGAUCAUUUCGAAUGCGCACAAUUUUGUCAUUACGUUCAUUCAUAAGACGAAGACAGAUUUCAGAAAAGGAAUCAAAGUAUCAGCUUUUUCACGUAAGAAAGCACUCCAUACAAAACGAGUAAAAUCAUCAACAAUGAACAAGAUAAAUCGUUUUCCACCCAAACUUUGAAUCCUAGAAGAUCCCAUCAAGUCAAUGUGAAGUAACUCAAAAGGUGUAGAUGUCCCUAAGUUGUUCAAAUUCUUGUGUGCGGAUCUAGUUUGCUUUCCCAGUUGAAAACCCCCACACAUAGUAUUCUCUUUAAAGUCUAUAUUAGGUACACCUCUAACAAUCUCCUUAUUCGAUAUCUUAGAUAGUUCCUUAAAGUUUAUGUGACCUAGACGUUCAUGCCAUAAGGUUUCAGUCUCCAAUGUCGCUAGGUUAUAUUUUUCAGAUGAAGUACUGGAAACUACAUAACAGUUGUUCUGAGAUCUUACACCUUUUAAAAAGAUAUCAUCAUCACGAGUCACAUUGCAUUCUUUAUCAAAAAAUUUCACUGAGUACCCGUCAUCACACAAUUGGCUUAUGCUUACGAGAUUUGAUUUAAAACUCUCAACAUAAAAAAACAUCAUUCAACGUAGAGCCAUCUGAGAUAGUGACUGUUCCUUUUCAAUAAUUUUUGACGACCAACCGUCUCCAAAAACAACAAGUCCUCCGGUCAUGUGACGUGAACAACCAUUAUCUAGAUAUCAGGAAGUGUUAUCGUAAGCAUGAAGCGAAGUGUGGAUGACAAGACAAGGAAAGAUUUCACCUUUGCGCACCCAAACCUUACAUGUUUUGGGUUGUGUUGGCCGACUUGGUUGAGAAACGUGUUGCUUGUCGACGAUUUGAGUAAUUUUCUUCUUGGAGUCAUCCUUCUUCAGUUCCAAGUUUGCUUUGCAUUUGUCUUUGGAUUUUCCUUCUUCAAUUGUUCCAUUGGUCUCCGAUUCAUGAGUGUCGUAGAACUUUUCGACUUUUGUUUGCAAAAUCUUUUCACAUGACCUACAAUGCCACAAAAAUGACAAAUUUUGUUAGCAAAAGAAUUCUUAGGAGGAACAAACUUACCAUAAACCUUCGGAACUGGUUUUGUCGAGUGUUCGUCUACUUUCUUCAUCACUUGAUCGACAUACGUCCAUUCGUACCCAAGUCCGAAUUUAUUGGUUUGACCGAGUCUUAACAUCUUGUCAAGUUUGCUAGACCCAGAUGAAAACUUGUUCAAGUCUGAUUUGAGUUGAAUGAUGGUCUUGGUAAAUUCCAUGUUGGAUUCUCUUGCUUCCGUGUAUUGUUUGGUAAGGAAAUUAAUGUUUUCAACAUGAGACUCAUUUUCCUUUUCAAGCAACGCACACUUGUCAAGUAAAGAGUUGUAGGCCUUCGUCAGAACAUCCUUUUCUUGCUCAAGACUCUUUGUCAACGACUCUAAUCUUGUAUUAUCUUGAUCCAGAUCAUACAAUCUUCGUUGCAACUUCUUGUUAUGUUUAGCCACUUUCUUUAAUUCAAUAACAAGUUGGUGAUAUGCGGUGGCCAUAUCAUCUUCUUCCGAUUCUUCAUCCGUUGUGUUCUCGGAAGAAGAUUUUUCAUGCAAAGGAGAUAUAGAAAUUGAGUCAGUGGAAGCUAAACAUAUAAAAGUAGAAUCAUGUGCAAUAAGUGCCGUGGCAUUAACGUCAUCAUCACUUGAGGAUGAUUCGUCAGAAGAAGAGUCAUCCCAAGUAAUGGUUUGCAUCGCUUUCUUUUUCAAAGAUUUUUUAUUUGGACAAUCCGAUGCAAUAUGACCAAAUCCCCUACACUUAUAGCAUUGAAUUUGACCUUCACUACUUUUCUUCUCUUUUGCAGAGUCUUUUUGAAAGUUUUUCGAUUUUUUAAACUUUGAUGAAGAAGAGGAACUCCCUUUUGAUUUGCUUGGCUUGGAGGAAGUUUACUUGGAAGGAAACUUAUUUCUAAAGUUCCGAUGGAACUUCUUCGUUAAAAGAGCCAUUUGCUUCUCAAACUCUUCCAAGGUUACAUCUGAGUCCGAACCCGAUGAAGAAGAUUCCACAUUGUCUCCUUUCGUUGAUUUUAGUGCCAUACCUGAAGCUUUAGAAGACAACUUGGAAGAAGAUGAAUUAGAAAGAAAAGUUAUUUCAUACGUUUGAAGAGCACCAACUAAUUCGUCAACUUUUAGUUCAUCCGGAUGUUUUACCGUUUCUAUGGCUGCAACCUUGGGACGAAAUCGUUCGACAAGAGUUCUCAAAAUCUUUCGAAUAAUUUUUGGUUCAGAAAUUUUUUCACCCAAAUUCGCACAAGUAUUAACAAUAUCUUGAAGACGAGUAUAAUACUCGGUAAAGGUUUCGUUCUUUUCCAUACGAAUAGAAUCAAAACGACUAGUCAACAUUUAUAAUUUUUGAACCUUUACCAAGCUUGUACCCUCAUGAGUGAUUUGUAAAGUGUCCUAAAUUUCUUUGGCGGUUUCACACGCCGAAACUCGUGAAAAUUCGGUUUGAUUCAAAGCAUUGAACAAAGCAUUGAUACCCUUCCCAUUGAACGAAGAUAGUUCAUUUUCCUCUUUCGUCCACUUAUUUCUAGGUUUGGGACCCGUAACAUUAUCGACUACUUCAGUAGGAUGUUUCCAUCCGAAUUCAAUAGCUUUCCAAACCCUCUCGUCAAUGGCAAUAAGGAACGCUCUCAUUCGGACUUUCCAAUAAGCGUAAUUAGUGCCAUCAAAAAGAGGUGGUCGAUUAAUGUUACCUCCCUCGGCCAUAGUUUACAACCUAUACCCACUCUGAUACCACUUGAAAGAUAUGGAUCCAAAGGAUUUAAAAGGUAAAUAACACCUAGAAGGGGGGGUGAAUAGGUGUAAAUGGCAAAACCAAAUAAACUCGAUGCAAAUUAAAAGAGAAUGCGAAAAAUAAAAUCAACAUACCGAUAUUUUAACGUGGGAAAACUCCAAUCCGGAGAGAAAAACCCACGGGACCGAUCACGCAAAGAAAAUCCACUAAGAAAACUUAAGUGCAGGUGAUUUAACGAAAAUACACGACUCAAUUUACUGAAUCCUCGUUGUAGAUUGUCUUUGCCGGUCCUCGAUCGCUUAGAAUCCUCCAACCGAUCACGCCGCAAGUCCUUGCAGCAAACACGCCUCGACUCCACGAAACGCCCACCGAAUCCACGGCCUUCACACACAAUCCAUGUGCAUUCACUCCAUCCGAAGCUCGUUGAGAUCACAAUUUGUGGUGAUUGAAACACGUAGGAAGUCAUAUGAUAUGAGGAGAAACCCUUCUUAGAACCUCAUGGAUUUGAUCCUCAAGAAAUUCGUGAAUUGGACUCAAAGAAUCAAAUCAAUGAUCUAAGAACUUGAUACUUAAAACAUAGAUCAAAAGCUCCAAAUCAAGGUUUUUGAGUUUCUAAAACAUUAUCUCUCAAAGCAUACAUCAUAUGGGUAUCCUCAUAUCAUAUUUAUAGGUUUAGAAGACUUAGAAGUAGACUAGAAUUGCAAAAAUAUAAUUUUAAAAACUAACGUCGUCCCAAGAGACCGGUCCUCUCGAGGAGACCGGUCUUUGGGAGACUGGUCCCUCGUUGUGUGCCUGGAAACACAGGCUUCGGGAACCGGUCUCUCAUUCCAGAGACCGGUCACUCGCUGCGUGACAGAAAAUCCAUCGUUCGGGAACCGGUCUCACUUUCCAGGGACCGGUUGCCUUAACAUUUCACGCAGAGAGGACCCUCGGGGACCGGUCUCUCAUCUCAGGGACCGGUCCCUGAACACUGAAAAACCCAGAAUGAAUUUAUCAAUGCAAUCUAAGUCUUCUAACAUAUUUUGAACCGUUAACAUCACCACAAAUGAUCGAUACUUCAUACCUAUGGUGUUGAGCUUUUCGAAUGAGUCCUUGAGCUUCAAAUGAAUCUUCUUUUCCAAUAACUUCGUGUUUAACUCUUCAAGACUCCAUUCGACUUUACGAAAUUCGCCAACCUAGAAAAAUCCUUAACAGCAGCGCCCUCCGCACGAUGUUUUAGGAAAAAUUCUACCACUCGAUUAAACAUUGCCAUCACAAAAGCAGUAAUCAAUAAGGCACGAACUCCCCUCAACACCCUAUUUAAAUUUUUUCGAUCGGUUCGUUGUCAUAAUACCGAAUCGUCGACCACCAUCAAAAGCUUUAACCCAGUAUGCCCUCAAUACCCCAUUCAACACAAUCAUCUCGAAUGGCGAAUGCAACUGCAUUCAAACCACCUUCAUGAUUUGGAUCCAAAAAAUGCGGAACAAAGGAUUCAUUAUCAUCACUAGAAUCAGCAUUAAUUCGCCUUUGAUCCUCUUCAUCACUUUCAGUAAUAUACUCCUCAUCACUUCUAUUUAUGUCAUCGGUCCAUUCACGAACACUAGAUGAUGGACCUUAACUUUGAUUAUGACGGAUAGUAAAUGUAAGGAAGUGAAUUCUCGAAAUACGAGAGUUGGACUUCGAUUAAAAUCGACUGAUUGUCAGUUGGGUACGCUUCGGAAAGGCCGAAGGCGUCAAAAAUCCAAAAAGUGCUUUUAUGAGGGCCUCGGAGAGCAAGAUAGAGGAAUACUGCAACUUUGCAGAUUUUGCUCUCGGGGACCGGUCCCUGGUGGGAGAGACCGGUCCCCGUAAACAGUGUGUGCGUUAGGAAAUCUCUGCGCACGAUGUUUGCUCUCGGGGUCCGUUCCCUCGGGAGGGAGACGGUCCCUGAAGGUUUGGUCCCUCAGGCGAGGACCGGUCCCCGUACGCGUAGAAUUGGCAGAAAACUUCUGCCCACAAAGGUUGCUCUCGGGGACUGGUCCCUCCAUAGGGAGACCGGUCCCCGCACCCGAAAACUGCCCAGGCUGGGCAGGGCACGAGAUGAGAAGUGGAGGGGCUUUUGACAAUUAUUGCAUGAGAAGGGCUAAAUAGGGGAUUUCCCUUCUCUUCUCUUUUACCCUCCCUCAUAACACACUCUCCCUCUCUCUCUCUAAGCUUCUUUCUCUCUCUCUAGAAGGUGAAGAAGGAGGAGGAUUUGGUGGAGAUCAAGGCCAAGGGAAGGAUUAGCAUCAUCUUCUUCUUCCUCUCCACCAUUGGAGCUUGCUUUAGAGGUAAGCUCAUGAGAGCUUUCAUGGUAGAUCCCUUUGGAUGGGUUUUUAUCUCCUAGAAUUGGUUUUAUUGGAUCUCUUUGAUGCCAAAUAGAAGGUUUAUGUUUGAAUCUUGGAGUUUAGAGAUGGAUUCUUACAUUGGUGCUAACCUAGGGCUCCAAAUUGGGGUUUUUGGAAAUCGAUGGGUUUGAUCUAAAUUGAUCAUGUGUAAACCUAAGUGAUAGGAGUUUAAACGCGUGGGAAGCUACGGUUCGUCGAUUCGUCGAGCAGGUGCGAAACUAUAGCCGAAACGAGUGUUCGUGGCUUCGUGUUGACCCGAAGAGUCGAAGCGGCGACUAAGGAACGUGCAAUCGAGAACCUAGCUUGGCGACACUACCAAAAGGUGGGGGUGUCAUCCCGAAGCAACUGGGCUUCUCCCUAUGUCUAAGUACUUAUAUGUUGAUCAUAUUCCAUAUGUGUAUAUCAUGCAUGCUAGGGUGAUUAGAUGUUGCAUUUACUAUUCUUGCAUGCUCCUUAUAGUGUGGCAUAGUCGGCUUGACACGUGAACAUAGGGUGCAUGAGAAUGAGCUAUUGUGGCAUAGAACCCUAUAGAGAUAAGUUAAAUGAAACUUGAUCUUGCAUUGAUGAUAUAUGACUAGUAUAGUCGAGACAUUGCAUCAUGACGAGUGGCAUGCGAACCAAGUAAACAACUUGAUGAGUGACAUUAGAACUUAGUGUAAAAGAACACUUGUGACAUGAUGACCCUAGUGACAGGAUAUCCUCAGUGGACGAGGAUUGGACUAUACUCACAUUGUUUGUUCAGCGCUUGUGGCGGUCGCUCCGCACAGGUAGUGCGCUCCGGAGUUUGGCACGUGUAAGAUUGGGAUAGCCUAUUUGGGGUCUCAAGGGAUAGCCUAUUUGGGGUCCCGCAGAUGGUCCCUCGGGUGGUUCGAGUACCCCGUUAUAGAGGGGUUUUGAGAUGUGAGUCGAGGGCACGCCUACAGGCCAGCCAGAGGAUUGGGUAAUGAAUUCGAGAGAAUUGUGCAAUUUGAGCAUAUUAAGCAUAUUGAGCAUAGUAGAGUUGUAUUCGUGCUUGAUAGAGUUAUAGUAGCAUGUUAGUGUUUACAUGGCUAUGUUGGUUACUCUUGUUUCUCAAGGCAUAGUAGAAUAGUGCAAUUCUUUCAAUAUGCAUCCUUUACAGCUUUAGAUAUCUAUCUAUCUGCUUAUGCCUGCUUAAACCUAGUAGGGAGAUCGGCGGAGUCGGCGGCCGAACCUACUGGGAACUAUGGACAAUAGUUCUCACCCCACUUUGUUGCAGGACCGAGUUCGAGUACUCUCGGUGAGGACCGUGGUAAGGGCAUCGCGCCCUAGCUUAGUAGCAGCUACCCUAUGCAUUAGAGUACCGAUGUACCUGAGAGUUGUGUUGUAUUUUGAGGGAGUUGCUUAUGUAUUUUGGAUUUACAUUGUAUAUAUUCAUUUUGGAGAGUUAUAAAUGCAAACUGAUGUAAAUGAAUGCAAUGUGAUGUAAUAGCUAGUUAUAUCUCUCUUAUUUCACUUGUAUUGUAUACUUGUGUCUUGCUCUUACUUGUUAGCACUUGUGGUGCUCCUUGUUGAUUGCGUAUGUAUUGAAUUUCUUUUCCUGGGCAAAUUCUUGUACAUGAUCUGGUUGUUUGGCCUGGGGCGGACAGGGGAGGUGCUGUCCGCCCGGCGUCUGUUCGACGCACUCGAACCGAACCAAAUUAGUAACUGUUUCGGGGCGUGACAAUAAACCUGCAAAGAUAUUUAAGAUUAACUAUUCGCAUUGGUCCAAUUUUCAUGUAGCUAAAUCAUACAAUCACCUACCGCUCAUUUUGACCAACCAACGGAGACGGAUCCAUUAUAGUAGAUGGCAAUGAUGCGCUAACUGGUACACAUGGGACUCCAAACUCUCUGUAACACUUACAAGACAAAGUUAUUAAUUUCGCGCACCUAAACUAAUUGAGGAAUUAUGAAAAACAUUAUAAAGAUCAUUACUUUAUACCUUGAUGUAUGACCUCGUUCGCAAUUGACGUAAUUCCUUUGAUAAUCGCUACUAUGCAUUUCCGUAUUUCUAACGGUACUUCGACGGUCUUGUGUCGUCGACACAUAUUUCUCCACGAAUAAUUUUAUACAUCCAUAGAACGGAAAAAAACUCAUCACACCAAUUAGUGCAUUGUCACUUGAUAAAUCAACUAAUUCCCAUUCAUUGGCUCCCAUUAGACAUCGAACCGUUAUUCGGAGACGGUCUUCCACUCGAUCAUAGUUAGUAACAUUAUAUAUUUUCAUCUCAAAUUUUUGAAAUGAGAUAUCGCGUCGGAAAGCAACUAAUUCUUUACGGCCACCAAUAUAUUGUGGUACAUUAUUGUUCACGACUAAAUUUCCGUCCCAAUGGAUAUAGAAAGGAACACAAUCGCCGGCCAGAGUUCUAAAGUAAUAUAAUAAUAUGUACAAAAUUAUUACACUCAUUACAUAUUAAUAUAGCACAUUUCUAAUAUACAACAAAGGAGAGAAUGAGAGAUGGAAUUACCAUUUUGCGAUCACGGUCGGCGCCGACUUCUAUGCCGAUCAAGAGCUCUGGAGGGAGGCAAGAAAGUGAUGAUAAAGAGAGAGUGAUAUGUGAGAGAGACAGAAAGAGAGUGAUCAGUAAGAGAAAACUGUGUGUGUGUGUGUGUAACACACUGGACCUUUACAAUUUGCGAGGUUCAAGUGUUUGAUCUGCGUUCUGAGCUUUUUUACUUUUUCUGGGGGGUCGUAGAUAGUGUUCCGACCUAUGGCUCGCAUCCCGAGAAGAGAGGUUUAACGCUCAGCGCCGAAGUCUCCAAAGUGAGGAUUAUUGGCUGCUCUCAGGUUGCACUCUGUAGGGAAGUGUACCGGUACAACAUUGAAGUUGUACCAGAACAAGAGGUUGUACCGGUACAACAUUGGAUUUGUACCGGUACACAUUGCUGUUUUCUGCCAACCCGAGGCUCGGGUUUGUGCGUACUGGGGUUUUGUACCGAUACACUUUCCCGUGUACUGUUACACAAUGCAGAAUGUAGUCUGUUUGUUUUUUAGGGGUGUUUUUGAUAUUGUAGCAAUACUACAUAUAUCCCCCACGCCCCAUGGAGCUUCCCUGAGCUGGGAAGCAGUGGAGAGAAGGUAAGGAAACCCUCUACACCUUCUUGAUCUUUCUUGAUUUUGUUGGGAUUUUUGAGGUUUAAACUCUCCCUUUUGCUCCUUUUUGCUUCUUGGUGCUAUUUCUACCAUGGUUGAAGGCUUGGAGCUUGGAUUGAGGCUUGUUGGAGGAGAGAUCUCCAACCCUAGUUGACUUGGAGCAUUGUUUGGAGCUUCUCUUGAGGUUAGCAACAUGUUUCUUGCUUUAGAUUCAUGUUUUGGUAAUUUCUACUAGAUAAAAUCCUAGAUAUGAAAACUUAGGGUUUAUUUGGAGAUUUUGGAUUUAGUGCUUUUAGAGCUCAAUUGCUUGGAUUAGAACCUUCCUCUAGGUUGGAUUGGAAGGGUUUUAGCUCCCAUUUGGAGUUCGAGAGAGACUAUCACCAUCAUAGGUGAGUUUUGCUCCUUUUCUUGAGAUGGUUAAUGAUUGACCUUAGGGAUGUUUGUAACGUUCGUUUAACUCUCUUUUUAUUAUCUUUAGGGUGCUAGGAGAAUAGUGGGCAACUUUGUUCGGCGAAACGAAGGAUUUCGAUGAGACUUGGUGGGUUUGGCCUCACCAAAAUGGGAUAAAAAUUCUCAUAUGAUGAUUAUACUUGUCGUAAAAUGAAAUUUCAUACAUAUUCAUAUUAGAUGGAAUAUUUGUGAAUUUUAGAAUGACUAGAAUCCAUAUGUUAUAUAUAAUGUGUUGAACCAAUACGGCGCAGACAGUUGGCACACCGAGUCCAUAUAUCGCUGGAUCGGAAGCACGGAAAACGCGCCAGGGGAUAUGAGCUGUGAUUAUUUGAAAAAUGAUAACCGUAAGCAGUUAUGGGCAGUUCCCAAUGGCAGUUCCAAUCGGCCGAACGUGGCCUUCCAAUCCGGAGAAGAUGGCCGAUCGUGCAAUAACUGAACACAAGGGGAAAAUAUAUAAAUAGGCCUGUAGUACCCUAAAAAGGGGUCUUUGCCCCUGCGCACAAGAGACCACUUUCAAUUUUCCUCGCUUUGUUCUUAGGAGUAGUGCUUGUAACUUAGCCUUUUCUGAAGUCUGUCUGCCAUUCGGGCAUCACUUCAUUGUAAACGCCUUGGAGUCUGUCUGCCUUCUGGGCAUCACUCCCUUGUACACUUCGGAGUCUGUCUGCCUUCCGGGCAUCACUCCCUUUUUAUUAAUAGAAAGACGUUUUCGGCUCCUCAGGCCGACCAGGUCUCGCUUUGUCUUGACUUUUCGGUUCAUUUCUCAGCUUGAAAAUAAGCCCUACCUGUUUAUUCGGUUCGUCUUGCCGAAGCAAAUUUACUAAGGAGGUUUUCGGACCCGGCCGAUUUGAUCCCUCAUCGGUCGAAUCGCUUGACCCGUCACGGGCGCAAACUUCGAGGGUCACGAUCAGCAGCCGGUUUCCACUUCGACACACUUCCAGAGGAGGGUCAAAGCAUUAGGAAAUUCGGAAAGCAACACAAUGUAUAUUUGGAUUUCUAUGUAGUAGAGAGUUAUUCAUGUUGGGCUUAGGCAUAUGGAUAGCACUCUUAUAUGUGGCUUGAAACCAUAUUUCAUAUAGUGAAAAUGACAAGUGUAAAAUGCUCUUGGACAUAAAUCUCAUAUUAGACAUAGGAGAGAACUUAAUGCCAUAAAGAGGCAUAGACUUGAAUGAUGUGUGAAUCAGUGAGCUAAUGUCAUAAAAAGACAUAGAGCUAGAGUUAUGUAUGAACCUAGUGAAUUAGUGCCAUAAAGAGGCAUUGAAUAUGGAAUAUGCUUGAACAUAGCAAGAUUCUAAUGUCAUGAAGAGGCAUUAGAUUUAGUGAAUGUUAGAACUUCACAUUGAGACAUAGAACUAAACCGAUGGGUUGCUAGUGACUAUUACCAUGUUAAAGACAUGAUGAUCGGGUUCUUGAGACGAUGACUAUGCUUGCUUGCCAUUUGUGCUCAUUCACACAUGCUUGUGAGGGUCGCUCCCUACAAGCCGGAUCUUCGAAGUUAGCCUACGCGACUUAUGCUCGCUCGUGCGGUAUUGAGAAGCCUACGGGGCUAGGUGGGAUAGACUCAUUCCUCGAGUGGGAAUGUUGGGGCUACCACGGGCACUUAGGCGAUACAAGCCGGACUACCUUAUGUAGGUCCUUAAUUGGAAAUGAAAAUUGACACGUAGUCAUACAAGUAACAAUCACUACUAAAUAGUUUAUAGUAGUUGGAUUUCUUAGACAUGUUUAUAGUAUAGUAUUGGACAUUUGGACAUAUAGUAUACUUGAUAGUAUCGCUCAUUGCAUUACAGUAUACUUGUUUGCCAUGUUAGAACAUACUAGUCAUGUAUUGGACAUAUUGAUCAUAAUAGAAUAGAUGUACACCGUGUUGACAUCGUGUAUACUUGUGGUAUUAUAGAUUAGCAUUUCAUUACAUGCUUUUCAUAUUCGCAGCUUUACUAGUAGUUUCUUUCAUCUACUUACGCUUUUGGGCCUAGUGGUGCAUUUUGCUCAGGUCAGUAAUUGCCCACUGGGAACUAUAAAUUAUAGUUCUCACGCCCCCCCGUUUGAUAUCUUCCUUAUAGAGCCUUCCAUCCCGAGAGAGGCUAGGAACCGCGGCAAGGGUGUCGCUUUGAGCUAGCGAGCGAGGGGUCUUGCUAGGUGGAUCAUUUUCUCCUUUUAUUUUAGUUGGAGAGAAUGAGGGCGUUUUGUACCCUACAUAGAGACUAUCAUUUUGGAUAUUAUAGUACUUGUACUUGAGACACCGAUGUAUCACUCUAUAUUUUAUCUUAUUGGUUUAGUUUUCUAUCAUUCUACUUGUUGUUAGAAUCUAGCUGUUUAGUUGCUCUGAUACCUCUAUAUAUUUGUUUAUUCUUAUAAUUUAUAUCGCUUUUGCUGUAGACGCCUUAUAUGUGCAGGCAUAUGGCAGGUCUGGACACGCACCGGGCGGGCCUCCGCCGGGACCCGGGGCGUGACAGGUGGGCUCACAAUGAGAGAGGUGUGGGGGUAAGGGUGGGGGUGGGGAGGGCUCAUAGUGGAGUUGGGGGGGGGGAGGGUCAGCAGUAAGGUGGGGGUGGGGGUGGGAAGCUCACAGUGAGGUGAGUUGGGUGGGGGUCACAGUGGAGAGAUCGGAGGGUGGGGUGGGGGGUGCUCACAGUGGAGAGGUUUUGGAUGGGGGAGGGGGUGGCUCACAGUGAGAGAGGUGUUUGGGCGGGGGGGUCUCGCCAGGUGAGAGAAAGAGAAAGCGCCGCGGCGCGGCGGCGGCUGUCGGCCACAGAAGAGAGAGAGAGAGACGGUCAGAGAAGGUGGUCGGGGCACUAGGUUAGGAGGAGAAAAUGCCAGGUGGGGAAAGAAUCGGGGCGGAGAAGGCCGCCGCCAGCGGCGGCGGCGUGGUGGGCACACAGAGAGAGAGAGAGAGAGGAGAGAGAAAAAGAUCGAGCGAGAGAGGAGGGUGGGAGCUCGGGCGGGGUAGUAAUACAAAAAGAACACGGUGAAUCGUUCACCGUGUUUGGACACGGUGAAUCGUUCACCGUGUUUGGACACGGUGAAUCGUUCACCGUAUUUAACUUAACUGCCAGGCCCAAGCUCCGCCCGCAUUGCUCUGACGUAGCACUUGCGUGGCAGGGCCAGGGCUAUUUUUGCAAAUAUAAAUUUGCUGGUGCAAAUAUAAAUUUGCUGAGGCAAAUUUUAAAAUUAACUUUUUCUAGGGGGCCAAUUGCAAAAAGAAAACCCUAGUUAAUAUAAUUUUUUUAAAUUUAUUUUAUUAUUUUACCUUUUGGCGUGAGUCGAACUUAAUUACAUAAAAGAAGCUCUCCUGAGCUGCUACAUCACUAUUCAAUUCGGUUGGCCCUUCGCCUGGUAAGAACAAGGUAAGAACAAGAAAAUCGUCGGGACAAGCACCAAAAAUUAUCCGAAAAAAAGGAAACAAUCAAAUGCAAAAAAUAAUAUAAAGAGAGAGUGGAAUUAAUGGUGAUGACCCCAAAGUCCAUCCCCCACACUACCCGCCGCCCAUAGGAAGACAGCCGUCUUCCUCGUACCCUCCGUCUUGUCUCUCUCUUCUGAGUUCUUAGCAUAAAAUAUAUGCAUAUAAUUUCUAAUAAGAAAUUAAUAAACGAUAAAAUGUAUGAUAGUCCCUAUACUAUCUUACUACUGCAAGAUGGUUUUCAAAUAUUCUAUUUAGACUUCUUUUUUUUUUUCAUUCAAUCCCUAGCUAAACAUUCAGUAAACAUCUCAAGUAUUUGAAUUAAUUAUCCAUUCGAUAAAAAAUUGUUAUGCUAACUAACUAUCAUAAGGAACUAAUAAAGAGUUUUGAAUAAACGCGCGGUACAAGAACGGAUUUAUAAUAUUGAGAUAUUACUAUAUAUAUAUAUAUAUAUAUAUAUAUAUAGGGUCCGGCUACUAUACUAUUAUGAGUAUAAUCACUCUCGUACUUAUAAGUUGUUUUCGAUGAUAGAGCUUCCGAAUCGACGAUCCACACCGUUAAUUUAAUGGCCGGAAUGGAAUACUUUUUAAUUUAACGGUGUAAAAAAAUCAGAAUUUGUUGAUUUUUUGAUAGAAAAUUCUAUUUACUACAUAGAUAAAGAUCAAUAACUCCGAUCUUGAAUUAAAGGAUCCGAUUAUGGUUUUUUAAGAUGUUGUUCGAUUUUGACCGUUCAUUUUAUGCCCACUUGAUGGACUUUAUUAUGAUUUUAAAACUUUACGAAAUUUAUUUUCUAGAAGUUUCAAAUACUCUAGAUCAUAUUUAACGGAAUGGAUCGUCGAUUCGGAAGCUCCAUCAUCAAAAACAACUUAUGAGUACGAGGGCUCCAAUACUCAUAAUAGUAUAAUAGUAUAAUAGCGACAGCCACGUCCAUCCAUGCGUUUUACUCUCUAGAUAAAGGAAAGAAAACGCCUUUUGAGAAACCUCUUUCUUUUCUCUUCUACUAAUUAAAUUAAGCUUUGCUAGCAACACCCUUCAUCACCCUCAUAAUAUCUCCCUCUCUGCAGUCUGUCUGUCUGACCACCUUGCUACGGCUGAAGAUGACGUCGUCUGGGUUUCUGUCGACGGCUGCUAGUCCAUUGGUUGCCUCAUCGGGCUUCGUCGGGCUGAGAUCGGAGGCGUCGACGAGGCUUUUCCCAGAGAGGAGCUCUUUACUUUCCUGGCGCUCUAGGACCAUCUCCAAUGGCUCCAGGGUACACUCCAUGAAGGUACUUAAUUUUAACACGUACAGAACUAGAGGGGCGAUCGAGGACGCUAUUAGCUAGCUAAUGGCAUUAAUAUAUCUGACUUGAUUAGCCCACUUAAGCAAUUAUGAUCUAGAGUGUUCUGCGUAGGGCUGGCAAAUGAGCGAGCCGGCUCGUGUUCGACUCGCGUUCGACUCGAUAUUUGGCUCGCUCGAGCUCGACUCGAAAUUAAAUGAGUCGAGCUUGAACAAAGAGAAAAACUCAAAAUUCAUUUCAAGCCGAGCUCGAGUAUUACUCACCUCGUUCGAAUUAGGCUCGAAAAGCUCGAAAAGCUUGAAUAUAUAUAUAUAUAUAUAUAUAUAUAUAUAUAUAUAUAUAUAUAUAUAUAUAUAUAAUAUAUAUAUAAUUAGCUACUAUACUAUCUAUAUAUCGGAGCUCCGGUGAUAUAGUGUUGUUUUCGAUCUUAAGCGUUCAAUCAAUGAUCCACCGUUAAUAUGAUGCUAGGGUAUAUGAAGUCCUUAGAGAAUAAAAUUUAAGUUUUUUUCGAUAUCGUUUACUUAGUAAAAAAUUAUGUCAAAAUGGAUGGUGGAAAUUGAAUACUCUUAAAAUUGAGUAUAGGACUUUUAAAUUCAAAGAUAAGAAUGUUCACCGUAAUCCUAUAUAUUUAAAGUAUUUUCUAUCAAAAUUUGAAAGAAUUUAAAUUCUUCUACACCGUUAAACUCCAAAUUGCGUAUAAUAGCCAUUGAAAUGGACAAUUUUGAAAUGGUUUGAUCAUAAAGUAAACUAUGUCGAAAAAAUAUAAAAUUUUAUUUCUAAAAACUUUAAAAUACCCUAGAUCAGUUUUAACGUGUGGAUCGUGAUUUGAACUCUCGAAGAUCGAAAACAAUACUAUAGUUACCGGAGCUCCGGUGCUAUAGAUAGCAUAACAUAUAUAUAUAUAUAUAUAUAUAUAUAUAUAUAUAUAUAUAUAUAUAUAUAUAUAUAUAUAUAUAUAUAUUAUAUAUAUAUAUAUAUACACACAUAUACAUACAUAUACACACACUAUGUUAUGCUAUCGAAAGUAUAAAGGAUCUAAUGUUUUCGAUUUUUUGAUUCUUAGAUUAACCCCUUUAAUCAUUUCUUAUUUUGAAUUAAUACUAUUAUUACCUCGUAAGGACCAGCAAUCCUAGGGGUAUAUAUUAAUCCUAGGGGAUCGCAAUCAUCCCAACCAUACAAUUCUUAAUCAAAGGAUCAAAAAUUUGAAAAUAUCAAAUCUUAUAUUUUCAAUAGCAUAGUUAUUUCUACAUUAUAUAUAUAUAUAUAUAUAUAUAUAAUAUAAUAUAUUAAUAAUAUAUAUAUAUAUAUAUAUAUAUUGAAAAAUAUAUAAAUAUAAUAUAUUUUAAUUAUAUAUAGGUUGAGUGAAUAAUCUGAGUUUAGUUAAAAUUUGCUAUAUUGUUGGCCCAUAAAAACAAACCCAAUAGAACAAAAAAGCGAAAUUUCACUAAUUUAUAUCAUUUUCCUUUUUUUUUUAACAAAGCUUAAAUUUUCAUAUGUUUCUCUCUUUCUCUUUUCUGCCUCUCACCCUAAGUGGCCAAGCCGAAGCCCCUCCAAGUUACUAAAACGAGUAUAUGCUCGCCGUUGCCUACCUUACUAUUAAUUGUAUACUUGAAGAAAAUAUACAGAAUAUUUUAAAGUAAAAAUUAUUAUUAUAUAAAAUUUUAAUUUUAUUAUAUAUGAUUGAUAGUUUAAUCACAAUAUUUAUCUAACAAUAUAAUUUAUUUAUUUUUGACUGCAUAAAUAAAAAUGAAUAAUAUGGAGAUUGAAGGCGGAAGAAAAGACAUGUGAGGCUGAAAAGAUUAUAUAUUCAACUUAUAAAUUAUUUUUUUCAUAUUAUAAUAUUAUAUUUUAUAUAAUUAUUUUGUACUUUGAACUAUUAGACAUAUUUUUGUAUCAAAUUAUAGAUAAUGUUCUAUAUAAAUUAAACUAUUGAUCGUAUGAUGUUGAAAAUUUCAAGCGGCUCGUUUAGGGCUCGAGCUCGCUCGACUCGAAAUUAGGCUCGCUCGAGCUCGGCUCGAAUUAAUUUCAAUCCAAGCUUGAGCUUAAAUUUAGGCUCGAAAUUAAUUUCAAGUCGAAUUUGAUCCGAGAUAAGCUCGCUCGAGCUCGACUCGUUUCCACCCCUAGUUCUGCGUUUGUACGAACUAAUUGACUCUCACUGCUUGUUGUUUUGGCCGCAUAUAUAGUGGGCUGAAAUUGGUAGAAGAAUUUUCUUUAGAAAAAUGCUAUGAGCUAUUUGUGGAUUAAGAUUAUUUCCAGUCUUCAUGCUUAAAUUGAAAUUUUCAAUUUUUUCCUUUUGAAGUUUUCCAAUUUUGAUUGUUAAAUUCGUGGCUUAGUGCCAAAAAAUAACUUCUACAAAACCCUAGAGUUUAGGUUCUACCAAUUUCAAAUGUUUACGUCAUGAUUAACCUUGCCGGCCAUUGAAUAACGAAUGGGGGAAUUAGAACUCAGAAUAUUUUGGACAUUGACUCUGGUAUAAUAAUACUAAAAAAAAUCAAUCUGAUAGAAAAAUAACUCAUGAAUAAUUAUGAUAUAAUAAUCAUACAAAAAAUUCAAGCCCCUUCGGGUUUGACCUAAUAAAAUACAUAAAAAAAAAAAAAAAAUGUGAACGUAUUGAAAACUCGCACAAAAUUGAAGUCAUUAGGUUUCCGCAAUUUUGUAUAGGGUAAAAUUCACAUAUGAUAUAUGUUACUAAAAUUCAUAUAUGAUAUAUGUAACUGCACACUGAACAUAAUCUUCUAUCCUUAUGCACAGAAAUUACAUUACUGAUGUAAUCCUACGUAGAAAAUGAUUGCAUGACACAAAAUUUGUUUGUUUCGGUGUACACAUCUAUUGAGCGUAUCAAUAAUUAAUUAAUUGAGGGCGCUUCAAGAUUUUGCUGAGAAAUUAGGAUAUUAAGGAGUUAAAAUGUCAAUCUUAUUGAAGGAGAUGACCUUUUUUGCUUUCCCUUUACUUCAAAGAUAUUUGAAGGAAAAUUAUGCCAGAACGUAUAAACUUUGGCCUGAUUUUUAAAGCGCAACUGCAAUCUCUGUCAAUUAACCUUCUGUUAGACAUAAUUUAUUCUUUUAGGAGAAGAGAUAAUUGCCUAUAUGCCCCUCAAAACUUCAUAAAUAUUUCAUUUACUCCUACUUUUUUAUUUUUCUUUCCAAUAUACCCCUCAAGCGUUCCUCCGUUAUUGCAAAAUACCACCGCAGUUACCACCCGUUAAGUUAAUUUGGGUUAAACUUGAGUUAAAAAUAUCUACCACAGUUAAAAAAAAUUAAAAUAUCACUUUUGCCCUUAACUUAAGGGCAAAUAAAAAGUAUUAGUAAUGGUAGAAGGGUAUAUUUGAAAUUAAAGACCAAAAAAUAAAAUACUUUUUGUGCCCCUAACCUAAGGGUAAAUAAGAAAAGUCGGUGAUGGUAGAAGGGUAUAUUUGAAAAGGCAAAAUAGUAAUUUCAUAGAGAUAACAGAGUUCAUUAACAGAUUUUAACUCUAGAGGUAUAUUAGAAAUAGGUUGAAACGUAAAAAAGGUAUUUUCAAUAUUAGCCUUCUAGGAGGGAUAAAUCAAAAAGUCGAGAACUUUUCAAGAGUAUAUAAGCAAUUGCCCCUAGGAGAAAUAGGUCUUUUCAAAUAUUUUGUAUCCAAAGCAUUAAAGAACUCUCUCAAAAAUUGCAUGCAAUAAACAAUAUACAAAUAUUAUAAAAAUAAAGAGAUUAGAUAAGGCAUGUAGGUCGAACGUGCUAGACACGGCCUAGAAGCAAGAUUGCCCUUCCAUGUGUGAGGCUCCGGCAAUCACUUUUAGUAAUACAAUAAUUAUGAGCAAUCACAUGAGCGUGUCUCUAAGGUAGUACAAUACGAACCAACAACAAGACUUUUAGAGACCCAGUAAUAGCAUAACGUCCUAAAAGUACCAUAUCAGACGGAAAUGGGAUUGUGGUUGGGUAUAUAAGAAAAAGGCCUGACAAGCUAUUAUUACUAGCAGGUCAGAUUGUUAUAAAUAGAGAAUAAAACUCAGAGGAAGAGAAAAGUGGUUCAACGAGUUAUUAUUACUAACGGAUCGAGUUGUUAUAAAUAGAGAAUAAAACUAGAAUUGUAAAGACAAGAUGACAAGAGUGGUACUUCACCACUUGAACCCUUCUCUCUCUAUAUAAGAAAAUGAUGGCUUUCAGAAACACAGCAAUAGAGAAUAAAGCUCAGAGUAAGAGAGUAAAGUUCCAAAGAAGUACUCUAAAGCAAGAAUUAAAGUGCUCGUCGGCACAUGCCUUCCACCGUGCCGUAUCGUGCCAGCAAAAUAUCGGGACGAUAUAGCCCCCAUAUCGAUGGCACAACUCAAAACUCUCUAUUCUUGAAAUUAGUAAGUAAUUUUGCUCAAUGUAGUUCAAAAGAUUUGAUAAAAAUACAUAAUAAAUAAUUGGAAUAAUUUGUUGCUAAAAAAAAUAAAUAUUUCAUGUCAUUACGUGUCGGCACAUAUAUAUUUUUUGUGACCGGCACGUAUCUAUCGGCACGACCCAGCACGCACCAAGUCGUACCGUGCCGAUAAGUUUACAGCACGACUCCAUACCACAGUACUUAAAUCCUUACUCUAAAGCUCAUAAAAGAAUUGUAAAGACAAGAGAGGCAGAAAAAGGAAAGAUGAUGAUGGGAUACUUACUACUUCAACACUUGGAUCAUUCUCUCUUAUAUAAGCAAAGGAGACUUUGAUGGACCCAACAAUAGAGAAUAAAAGUCAGAGGAAGACUAAAGCCCCAAAGAUGAUGAUAGGAUAAUUAGUACUUUAACACUUGAAUCCCUCUCUCCUAUAUAAGCAAAGGAGACUUUGAAUGACCCAACAAUAGAGAAUAAAGCUGAGAGGAAGGCUAAAGCCCCAAAGAUGAUGAUGGGAUAAUUACUACUUCAACAACUGAAUCCCUGUCUCCUAUAUAAGCAAAGGAGACUUUGAGGGACCCAACAAUAGAGAAUAAAGUUCAGAGGGAGACUAAGGGCCUAUUUGUUUCACUAUAAGUGGGCAGGAGGAAGUAAUUUUCGACAAAAAUUGAUCACUUAUACUGUUUGGUUUACCGUAAUAUUAGUAUGGUUGAAAAUAUAGUUUACUCAAAAUACUGAAAUUGACUUCGCUCUCCCAUGGAGCGAAGUCAAUUCCAGUGGAAUGAAGGGGGGAGAAAAAAUUAUAAAAUAUUAGUGGAGAACUUAAUUACAGUGACUUGUUUAGACUUUCUCUCCAUCUCUUCUCCCCCCGCCCAUCUCCCCUUCGUCCCUAUCUCUCGAUUACAAUAAUUAAUUUUUUAUUUAGAUUUCAUGUUUAAAAUAUGAUAAAGUUUGGUUAGUUAAGUUUUAACAUAUCUUUUAUUUGAUUUUCAUGUUUAAAAUAGGAUGAAAAUUAAUUUAUUAAAUGUUAUAAUUCUUUAACUUUAGAAAUUUAUUUGUUGCAUUAUUAUAAUUUAUAUAAAAAAAAUUAAUAUAAUUAUUCUAAAUUUUAUUUUAUAAUUGUAUAGAAAUAUAAUUAUAUUAUUUUUUAUUUAUUUUUUAUAAUUUAUUAUUUAAUAAGUUAUAAAAGAGGCAAUAAUGUCAUGAGGGAGGCAUGUUUACCAAGAGUGUGGUGCUUGAAUAAUUUUCAGUGAAACAAAUAGAGAAAAUGGAGAACUGCAUUUUUUACAUCAUUCAUUUCAUACCAAAUAAAUAGCAGAACUGGCAUAACUUCACUUCCGCAGCUAUAGAAACAAACAACGAGGGUGAAGUAAUUUUUACCUAAACUCUAAUUCAAUUCAAAGUCCAAUUCAACCUAAAGUCUAUUUAUAUUGAAACAAAUAGGCCCUAAAGCCCCAAAGAAAUAUUGUAAAACUCAAAUAAGAAUUGCAAAGAUGAGAAGAAGAAGGAGAAAGAUGAUGAAGGAAAAUUUACUACUUCACCACCUAAACCCGACAAAUCAGUAAGCUAAAAUAAAAAAUAAGAAAUAAAAUAUAAAGCGAACUGGACCGCCAAGACCGCAAGACCGCACAAGCGGUCCAACACAGUUCGGCUCGUGUCAUACCGGCGUGCGUGUGAUAAACAGAUAUCCUGUUGUCACCUAAGUGACUUGAAGAUGAUGGAGAAUAGUAGGUGAUACACAAGCUCCCAAACAAAGCCUAUGAUGUUGGGCUACCCAAGAGGCCCAAAGGCCAAAAUAAAGUUUUAAAUCACAUUAAAAUUAAAUAAAGUCUACUAACAUCUUAUGGCCCAAUUGUUAGGAUUUUGUUAGAUUUGUAGAUUAAUUCUAGUGGAUAAAAAUUAAUAUUUAAGUUUGUUGGAGAUAAAUUUAAGAUUUAAAUAUUAAUUAGAGUAUGAAUCUAAUUAGAUUAGGAUAAAUAUUUAAAUCUAUUAGAGAUAAAAUAAAUAUAGAUUUAAAUAUUUUUUAGAGUAGGAAUCCUAAAUACACUAGGAUUUGAGUACGUUUUAUUGUAACCAUUAUAUAAGCACCAUGUAGGGUGCUUUUUGGAGAGAGAGUACGGCUAAAAAGUUGAAGCUUUUUGGUGGGUUGUACCUAAGAGAGAGAGUUGGCCGGUUGCAUGCACCUAGUGCACGGGUACAUGUAAGAGAGAAAGAGAGUUGUCUUUUAGGUUUAUAAAAGACGAGAGAAGGGUAGAAGAGAUUUAAAAAGAGGGCUCGGGAUUGUAGCUGCUCUGUUGCAGAAGAGGAGUCAGGUGUAAUCUUCUCUUAUUUAAUGAAUCUUAUUUUACCCGCAUAUUUUCUGUUUUGGUUUUUCUCUCUUUUGUAAUUAUAUCAGCUUUUGCUGAGGAGACGAAUUUAUGGUAAAAAUCUGAUUCAACGCUUUCGUUGCAGAAUCCCAACAAUCGGUUCCGGAUCCACAGCAGUCGGUAUCGGAGCGGGUUGCAGAUUCAAAAAAUUCGGUACCGGGGCGAGUACUAAAUUCCUAACAAUUGGUAUCAGAGCUGAAGGUUACCGAUCUGCAGGAAAGAUCGACGGAGAUGGCUACAAAAUUCGAAAUCGAGAAGUUCGACGGCAAGAACAAUUUCGGAUUGUGGCAGAUUAAAGUACGGGCGAUCCUCGUACAGCAAGAGUUGGACGAGACGUUGAACGGGAAAGAAGCGAAGCCGGCGGAGGUCACGUAUGCGGCAUGGACAAAGAUGGAGCGAAAGGCGUUGAGCACGCUUCAUCUAUUAUUAGCAUAUGAGGUUCUUUACAACGUAGCCAGCGAGACAACACCGACGAAGUUGUGGAAGAAAUUGGAAGAUCUGUACAUCACCAAAUUCCUGACGAACAAGUUGUACCUAAAGUAGCGACUGUUUACGCUGCGGAUGCAAGAAGUGGCAAGCCUACAUGAGCAUCUUAACGAGUUCAACAAGGUGGUGGCCCAGUUGACUAGCAUUGGAGUCAAUCUGGAUGACGAAGAUAAGGCGCUGAUUUUACUAUCUUCGCUACCCGUGACAUAUGAGCAUUUGGUGACCACGUUGCUUUAUGGCAAGGAGACCAUAAGUGUGGAGGCAGUCACGGCGGCGUUUCUCUCGAACAAGAUGCGAAAGAUGGCUCAGGAGUCCGGCACGCAAAGUCAGGAUGUAGGGCUAGUAGUGAGAGCGAAGAAUGAGGCGACAAUAUCGACGACCGGAGAUCGAUAGAAGAAGUCGUUAUCUGAGGUGGAGUGCUUCUACUGUCACAGGAAAGGACAUAUUAAGCGCAACUAUCGAAAAAUUCAGAAUGAUCUGAAGGAGUUGAAGCAGCAGAAGGAGAAAACUUUCGUGAACCAGGAUGAAACAGUAUCAGCGACGGCGCAGGCGGCAGAGUUGGAGAUGAUUGAUUUUGAUGUGCUGUAAGCGGCGACCAGAGGUGCUAAAAUUUCGGAUGAUGUGUGGGUACUCGAUUCAGCGUGUUCCUUUCACAUAUGCCUGGAGAAAGAGUCUUUUGCCACCUAUAAGGCAAUUAAGGGUGGAAAGGCUCUGAUGGGGAACGGGACGUCGUGCAAAGUUUUGGGAGUUGGCACGGUGAAGAUCCGAAUACACGAUGGGGUCGUGAGGAUGCUGAUAGGUGUGCGGCACAUUCCUGGUUUGAAUCAUAAUUUGAUCUCGUUAGGUGCGUUGGACUCGAAGGGUUGUGAUUUUUCGGCUUCAGGUAGAGCUAUGAGGGUCCGAAAACGAGAUCGGGUCGUGUGCGAGGCGAACAAGCAUGGGAACUUGUAUGUUCUGAACGAAAGUACAGUUAGAACGGGAGCGAAGAUGGUUUGGGUUCCAAAAGGUCGCGAAGGUGUAGUCGCUCGAGGUGAAGCGACGGAUGCGGCGACAUCGAGCAGAGGAGAGAAACUCAAGGUGGAGCUUGCAUGGUUAGCUCGACGCACUGAUUGAAGACUACAAAUCCAACCAAGGUGGAGAAUGUUAGGAUUUGGUUAGAUUUGUAGAUUAAUUAUAGUGGAUAAGAAUUAAUAUUUAAAUCUGUUGGAGAUAAAUUAAAGAUUUAAAUAUUAAUUAGAAUAUGAAUCUAACUAGAUUAGGAUAAAUAUUUAAAUCUAUUGGAGAUAAACUAAAUAUAGAUUUAAAUAUUUAUUAGAGUACGAAUCCUAAAUAUACUAGGAUUUGGAUACGUUUUAUUGUAAGCAUUAUAUAAACACCAUGUGGGGUGCUUUUGGAGAGAGAGUACGGCUAAAAAGUUGAAGCUCUUUGUUUGAUUGUACCAGAGAGAGAGAGUUGGUCGGUUGCAUGCACCUAGUGCACGGAUGCAUGUGAGAGAGAAAGAAAGUUGUCUUUUAGGUUUAUAGAAGACGAGAGAAGGGUAGGAGAGAUUUAAAAAGAGGGCUCGGGAUUGUAGCUGCUCUGUUGCAGAAGAGGAGUCAAGUAUAAUCUUCUCUUAUUUAAUGAAUCUUAUUUUACCUGCAUAUUUUCUGUUUUGAUUUUUCUCUCUUUUGUGAUUGUAUCAGCUUUUACUUAGGAGACGGAUUUAUGGUAAAAACCCGAUUCGACGCUUCCGUUGCGGAAUCCCAAUAUUAGAGUAUCUAAGUUGUUUUUUGCAUAGCUGACAAUAGUUAUAUAUGGAGUCUGGUUGAUUGAAGCGAAUUGGAAAUUUACACAGUUGUUUUUUCUUUUCUUCUUUUUUUUUAAAAAAAUCGUGGCUAAUUAGUGCAACCAACCAAAGUUCAGGGGUUUCGAGCAUAUUAUAUAUGUUGUUUCUUUGAUUUUUCAUUGUAUAAACAAUCUUAUAUAGUCCUGUGAGAAAUGUGUCAGUGCACAGCUCAUUUAAAUCCGUUGUUUAUUUUUUAAAGAUAUGAUUUAGUUUUAUUAUCAUAGUACUAACAAGCUAAAUAGGCUAACUAUCUAUAGAAAAAGAUAGUUAGAAAUGAAAACAAAAACCAUGACUUAUAUAGUUCUAGUAAGGCAAUGUAUCUGAAGUAAUGUCCCGAAACAACAACACUCGACCUUCUCCCUCAUGCAAGCAUUUCCUAAUGCCCGAUAAAGAUGAGCUAGUGCGGCUGCACCCCAUGCCAACUCACCGCAAACGUCAAAAUCCUUUAACAGUGGCAACUAUUUCAAAUGCACUCUAUCCUCGCUUGGAUUUGGGAGCAAACUACAUCCUAUCUCAAAUAGUAUAUAUACUCUCGUUGUAGCUCGAACAAUAGCGGGAGGUGCAUCUAAGGCGAUAUCAUAAAAACGAUGGUAUAACCAGUCUACCUUUAUCUCACCGCCCCUAAUAUCCUCAGGAACCACCCCGAGAAGUAGCUCACAGAGCUCUGGCCAGUGAUAUGAUGCCUCUCCAGUCAGAGCCCCACCAUGGACGCAGAGUCCAAUAAUAACAGUGAAGUCCAUCAAAGAAAUAAUCAAAUAAAUUCAGUAAGAAACAAAAGGAUGAAACAUGAGUGCGUAAGCAUAAAAUAUGAAAAAAGUUAAGUGUAAUUUCAUAUAGAAAAACCUAGCGACUACGUCUGUUGGUCCUUCUUUGCUAAUUUUCAGGAUAUGUACUUUUAUAAUGAUCGGGCUGUUUACACAUACUACACUUGCCUCUCCUAUUCCCAGCGCCUUCGUCCAUAACAUUACGGAUACACGUAGAUUUGGGUCGUCCGUUUUUUUCUUCUACCGCAUGGUGGCAGCAUAGGUGAAUCAUAUGACUCGAUCCAAUAACGACGAUCGGGAACAGGGUGGAACUGCGGUUCAUAAGCCUUACGAUAGGAUGCGGCAGUAUACUAAGGAGAACAUAAGCCAUAAUAAUCUAUGUUCAUAUGUGAAGAACUACAACAUAAAAAAAUAUGUGAACAAGGGAUUCUUGUGAGUUGCAAAUACAAACAUGAACAUGUAGAAACCAUUCCAUUGAUAAUCACUUGGUAUUGAUCGUCCCCGCCAAUAAGUACGUCGAACUCGUGAGCUCCAAAUCGUCGAACUGUAUAUGCUCUAGCACAUCUCAUCCGGCUAUUGAUGGUGUUUUCAACAGUUGAUAUAAACUGCGUAGACAUUGCAGCACCCUCCACACGAUAUUUUAGAAAAAAUUCUACCACUCGAUGAAACGUUGCCAUCACAAAAGCUGUAAUAGGUAACGCACGAACUCCCCUCAACUGUCACACCCCAAUAAUCCCACAUCGGAUAGGAAUAGGGAUGUGAUUGGAUAUAUAAGAGACUUAAACACUAGUAAUAUAAUUGGGCUUAAGCAUUUUGGGCCGGUUGUUGGGGCCCAAUGAGUUAUUGUUGCUAGUGGGCUGGGUCAUUACAUCAACACCCCAUUUGAACUUUUCGAUCGCUUCGUUGUCAUAAUACCGAAUCGUCGACCAUCAUCAAAAGCUUUAGCCCCGUAUGUCCUAUCGGUGUGAAGAUUGUCAACCCAAAGCCAAGCUUCUUCAUCCAUAGUUUUCAAUUCUUUCUUUAAUGCAUAAUAUUCUCAUUCUUCUGAAGCAUUCCCAAUUCUCCAAAAUAUCUUAAGUAAGUGAUUUGCUUUGACAUGAAUAUUCAUAUUGCCCUUCAUAUGUCGCAAACACCAUCAAUAAGCAUGACCUUCGGAUGGUGGGAAUACAAGUGCAACGAGAUUCGCUAGCUCUUUAAAACGAUCUGAAAUCAGUGUAAUAACUCGAGAUCGUGUUAUAUACCUUCUUAGGCAACUUAGAAACCAUUCCCAACUCGAGCCAUUCUUUCCCUCACAAAUUGCGAACGCUAGUGAAAAUAAACCACCAUUGGCAUGUCUGUGGCAAUUAAUGCGUGGCCUCCGUAUUUUCCAUACAAAUGGGUAGCAUCAAUACUAAGUACUGGGCGGCAAUACUCCCAACCAUGAAUCGACGGUCCAAAAGCCCAAAAGGGUCGUGAAAACAUUCUAGUAGUGCUCGUCAUCGUAAUAAAAUGAAUCUUCGUAAUAGUUCUAGGGUUUGUUUCUUCGAACAUAGAGAAGUAUCAAGGAAUGUCGCAGUAUGAUUGCUCCCAACUGCCGUAUAUAAUUUGUAGUGCUUUAACCUGCGCCCGCCAAGCCUUGCUAUAUGACAUGCUAACGUGCAUCUCACUCUGAAUUCGAGAUUGAAUUUCCAUAGGACUCAUAGUAAGCCCUGCCUUCAGUGUAGGUAGUAUAAAUUGACAUAUAAAAGAGGAUAUACAGUUUCGAUGCGUUGUAUUCAGAAUUGGAACCAUAUAUGUGUGUGGACCUCUAUAAGUCUUUACUUUAAAAAAUAAACUACCUUUUGGUUGAGAGGCAUGUAAUCUCUAUGGGCAAGAAUCGACCACAUAUCUCACAGUGUAUCUAGUUGUAUUCGACUUAACAACUUUAAGUUGCACAUUAUGUGCAAUGUGCCAAGCUUCCAAAGCAUUCACCAAGGAUGAUUUAUCAGAAAAUGUUUGAUUAGCCCAUGCCUCAUCACUUAGAGGACCCUGAUCAAUAUUUUGUUCGGUAUAUGCAUCAACAACGGAUUGAUGAAUUAAUUCAUCACCCAGGAGAAACCGUUGUCGUUGAUCUUCAAAUUCAUCGAAUUCCACCGGAGCCAGUACAUCAUUGUUGUUGACAUUUGAAUUUUCAAUCCAUUCAACACCUUUAUCUCGAAUAGCGAAUGCCAGUGCAUUCAAGCCACCAUCAUGAUUUGGAUCCAAAGAAUGCGGAACAAAAGAUUCAUCAUCAUCAUUAGAAUUAGCAUCAAUUCACCUUUAAUCCUCUUCAUUACUUUCAAUAACAUACUCCCCAUCACUUCUAUUUACGUCAUCGGUCUAUUCACGAACACUAGAUAAUGGACCUUCACUUUGAUUAUGAGAAAUAGUAAACCUGCUAAGAUAUUUAAGAUUAACUAUUCGCAUUGGUCCAAUUUUUAUGUAGCUAAAUCAUAUAAUCACCUACCGCACAUUUUGACCAACCAACGGAGACGGAUUCAUUAUAGUAGAUGGCAAUGAUGUGCUAACUGGCACAUAUAGGACUCCAAACUCUCUGUAACACUUACAAGACAAAGUUAUUAAUUUCGUGCACCUAAACUAAUUGAGGAAUUAUGAAAAAUAUUUAUAAAGAUCAUUACUUUAUACCUUGAUGUAUGACCUCAUUCGCGAUUGACGUAAUUCUUUUGAUAAUCGCUACUCCGCAUUUCCGUAUUUCUAACGGUACUUGGACGGUCUUGUGUUGUCGACACAUGUUUCUCCACGAAUAAUUUUAUACAUCCAUGGAACGGAAAAAAACUCAUCAUGCCAAUUAGUGCAUUGUCACUUGAUACGUCAACUAAUUCCCAUUCGUUGGCUCCCAUUGGACAUCGAACCGUUAUGCGGAGACGGUCUUCCACUCGAUCAUAGUUCGUAACAUUAUAUAUUUCCAUCUCAAAUUUUCGAAAUGAGAUAUCGCGUCGGAAAGCAACCAAUUCUUUACAGCCACCAAUAUAUCGUGGUACAUUAUUGCUCAUGACUAAAUUUCCGUCCCAAUAGAUAUAGAAAGGAACACAAUCGCCGGCCAUAGAGUUCUAAAGUAAUAUAAUAAUAUGUACAAAAUUAUUACACUCAUUACAUAUUAACAUAGCACAUUUCUAACAUACAACUAAGGAGAGGAUGAGAGAUGGAAUUACCAUUUUGCGAUCACGAUCGGCGCCGACUUCUAUGCCGAUCAAGAGCUCUGGAGGGAGGCAAGGGAGUGAUGAGAGAAAGAGAGAGUGAUUUGUGAGAGAGACAGAGAGAGUGUGUGAUCAGUGAGAGAAAACUGUAUGAGAGAGAGUGAGAGAGAGAGGGAGCGGUUCGUGAGGGGGCAGCAGAAUGAGAAAGGUGGGGGAGGGCACACAGUGAGAGAGUGUGGGGAGGUGGCUCAUAGUGAAGAGAGGUUGCGGGGGCUCACAGUGAGAGAGUUGGUGGGGGCUCACAGUGCAGUUGGGGGGGGGGCCUCACAGUUAAAGAGUGGGGUAGGGGGGCGCACAGUGGAGAGAGCGUUGGGGGGGCGGGUCGGGGGCGGCCGUUGAGGGUGGCGGGGUUCGGGCGAGGGGUGCGGAAGGGGGUCGCAUGAGAGGGUAGAAAGGGCGGCGGCUAUCGUGUCAUAGAGAGAGAGAAUAGAUAGAGAGGGAUGGGACGUACGAAAAGUUUUAGGUUAGAGAGGAUACGGGUGGGGAAAAGAGAUCGGGCGUAAGAGAGGGCCGAGCACGCGGCGGCGGAAGGGGGUGCAGACACCACAGAGAGAGAGAAAGAGAGGGCGGCGUCCUGGCGGGCCACAGAGAGAGAGAGGGAGAGAGAGAGAGAGAUUGAGCGAGAGAGGAGGGUGGGAGCUCGGGCGGGGUAGUAAUACAAAGAGAACAUGGUGAAUGGUUCACCGUCGUGUUCAAACACGGUGAACUAUUCACCGUGUCGAAACACAGUUAACCAUUCAUCGUAUUUAGACACGAUGAAUCGUUCACCGUGUUCAACUUAACUGCCAGGCCCCAGCCCCGCCCGUAUGGCGUUGACAUGGCGCUUGCGUAACAGGGUUGGGAUCAUUUUUGCAAAUAUAAAUUUGCUGGGGCUAAUUUUAAAAUUAACUUUUUCCAGGGGGCCAGUUGCAAAAAAAGCCCUUUAGGAUGCAUUUGGUUCGAGUUAUAUAGCACUAUUAUAGAUUAUCUGAAUAAGAUUAAUACUGAUAUUGCGUUACAGCGUUUGAUUUAAUACAGUAAUGUAAUAAUGUAUUACAGUAAAUAUUGAAUUGCUAUGUUUGUUUCAGUUUAUAAAAUUUAAUAAUUCUGACAGUAAAGUAUAGUCUAUUCCAAAAUUAUCUUUAUUAUCAUAUUUAUUUUUUUUUUUAUCAAACUGUAACUUAAUAUAAUUUGUACUUGAAUUAAUUCUAUUAAUAAGCAAUAUAAAUAAAAAAAACCACACAUAAUAAAAAAAUAAAACCAAAAAUUAAUUUUAACUUAUAUAAGAAUAAAUUUAAAAAGACCAUAUUAUGUAAUGAUACGAUUAUUUAAGAAUAAAUAAAUUUCAAUUUAGAAAGUCAUUUAUAACGGUUCGUCUGAAUAGGAAUAGAGAAAGAGAGGGAGAAAGAGAGAGAUAUAAAUAAAAAUGAUGUAUUGAAAGUGUUUGGAGGGUUGAAGGGUUAAAAUUAUAAUUUUAUUUAAUAUGCAAGAUUACCUGCUAUCAGUAAUACGGGAUAUCCACCUUUGAACUCAGUAAUAUUUUCGGAAUAAUCUUAUACUAUUUGUAAUCUUAAAUUACCGACUAGAUUAUAUAUUAGAUGAACUAAACGUAGUAAUCCUAGCAAAAUUAUCUGUAAUCCUGACAGGAUAAUCUGGACCAAACGCACCCUUAUUCUAAUUCUGUAUACACUUAAAACAAACUCUACUACACAUCUAUCUUCACAAAAAUUCAUUUUAGACCCUUUCAAUCAUCUUGUGUUCUUCACAAAAAUUCAUUUUAGACCCUCUCAAUCAUCUUGUGUAUAUCUCUUCUUUGGCUAUAGCAUGUGUAUAUUAAUCAUAUAUGAGAAGCUUCUUUCUUACUCGACCUUUGUCUUGCUAUUUGAUGGUGAAGACAUGGAAUCCAAUCAACAACAAAAAGUUUGAGGCCUUAUCCUAUCUACCGCCACUCUCUGAGGAAUCAAUCGCAAAGGAGGUUGACUACAUGAUCUCUAAAGGAUGGAUCCCCUGCUUAGAGUUUGAUGAGGUAAUAUUCCCUUAGCCUAACAUUAAACACAAAUUUCCGUGAUAUCAUUAUCCUGAUUUCUCUGGCUUAGAUAAUGAGGUAAUAUUCCCUUAGCCUAACAUUAAACACAAAUUUCCGUGAUAUCAUUACCCUUUCAAAUGUAGCUAGCUAAUUGGGUAUUUAUUUUUUUAGAUAAAUGAUAUAGAUGGUUUCUGAAUCAUUGGAGGAGUUUAAUGCAUUGUGAAUUUCCAAGAUCAGCAAUAUCUGGAAUUUUGUCACUAUCAACUUCUCUUAUCUGUUGUUACCUUCAGAUUCUGAUGGAAUUACCUCAACUCAAAGAGUGCGUUAGAAUUGGGGUUCAAAUUGAAAAAUUCAAGCGCAUUUGAACGAUCUAUAGUUAGAGGGCUGUUAAUACUCUUCUAAAUAUCAUUUGCUAUUAAAACUCUCAUAAAUAAAUCAUAAAAGGACUAGAUGUUCUGAUAUACUUGUAUAAGCCUAAAUAGUUGUUAGGAGCAUUAAGGUGAUAAUGUUUUAUAAACAUUACCCAAUUAAGACCGAUCGAUAUUGUACUAAGUACUCCAAGAAAGUCCGACUGGUAAGAUUUACUCCCAAGAUUUGAAUUACCAACUUCAAUCUCUUUUUUCUUCAACUUUAUUAUGAGAUUAAAUUCAGCAGUUCCAACGGCUCACAACCUUCUAUUUUCAGCUGGAAUGUUCUUUCCAGAGUCACAAAGUUUUCACAGAAAUCAAGAUAAUGCUUAGGGAGUUAAAAAAAAAAAAAAAAAAAAAAAAAAAAAAAAAAAAAAAGCCUGGCAUUGGGGCUUUGCUAAUUUUGAUUUACCAGUCUCCUUUUCUUCUCCUUUUGGCUACGCAAAAUUGUUUAUAUACCGAAACCGAAGAUGCAUGGUUUACAAUAAUUGGGAGUUGAAGGCAGGGGAGGUGCACAGGAGCAACAGCCGGAUGCCCGGCUACUACGAUGGGAGAUAUUGGACGCUGUGGAAACUGCCGAUGUUCGGCUGCACCGAUUCUUUUCAGGUCCUCCGAGAAAUUGAGGAGUGCAAGGAAGCGUAUCCUACCGCGUACAUCCGCCUCCUCGCCUUCGAUAAUCAACGCCAGUGCCAAUGCAUGUCCUUUGUCAUUCAAAAGCCUACCACCAUCUUCACCACUGCUGCCGCCGGAAAUGCUUGAUGAUUCAUGAGAUGAACGAGCCUUGCAGUUGAGGCUUCUCAUGAGUUUGUUUUGUAGACCACAGAAUAAAAUCAGGAUCAGAGUGGAACUUUUCCGGAUCAAAGCAACUUUAUGAACGGUUUAAAAUACUGUUGUUGUGAAGGACCAGGAGUCAUCUAUUUGCGCCAACUCCUCUGUGAUGAAGUGAUUGGUAUAAGUAUUUUGAAUUUGUUAAUCUGUGCAAAACUCUAAUCAGGGAUGAAAAUGGCUUAGCCAAGGUUUAAAGUGCCGCCCGUACUGUGCGGUACGGGGCGGCACGUAAGAGGCACGGUGUAGAGAGGGUCUCGGACCUCCGGCCGUGGCACGGAUCUGCGUAUUGCGUGAGAGAGUGCGAUACGUUCGUGCCACGGCACUGUGCUGUGCCAGCAUACUAUUCUUUUUUUUUGCUUUUUUUGCUUUUUUUUUUCUUUGGAUAUCAAGAAGCAUCCCACACUACUAAAAAUUUUGCAAAUUGAAAAUCUACUUAUUAGAUAAGCAAAAAAAAUUAUAAUUUAAUUUUUUUAUUUAUCAACAUACUGGCAAAUUUUUAAAUUUAUAUAUCUGAUCCAUACCACAGACAUCUGCUUCCAUCACAGGCAUUCAUUUUUUUCAUAUAAAUUAUUUUAUUAAAAUUUAUCAUAUUGUAAAACUUUUGGCAAAUUAAGUCCGAGCCCCCCGCAUCCACUAUAGAUAUCUAUUUUUUUAUUAAUUAUUUUAUUAAAAUUUGUCGCACCAUAAAAUUUUUGCCAAAUUAAGAAAAUAAAAUUGAACUCAAUAAAUAAAUUUUGAAAUACAUCAAUUAGAAUAUUUUAUUUUUGCAUUAAAAAAUUAAAAAUACUGAUAAAAUAAAAGCUAAAUUAAAUCAUUGAUACUUAAAUUUAUUUAAUUUAUUUGUUAUAUAAUUUAUUACUUGAUUUUUUUAAUAGAUCUAAUAAUUUUUUAAAAAAAAUUAAUUAAAAAAUAUUUUUUUUCAAAUACUUUUUACAAUAAUUUGUUCAAAUAAUUUUAAAAAAUUUUUUUUAUUUUAUAAAAGAAAGGUUGUAAUACGAUCAAAAGAAAAGAAAGAAAUAUAUUUUUGCAUUUUUAAAAUUCAAAUCUGUAAAAUUUCUAUUUUGCAUCAGGAGUAGUUAUACUUUAUACACCAAAAAAUUUACAAGUAUGUUAAUUAAUAAAUAUAAUAAGCUAUAUAUAGUAAAUAUUAAUAAUUAUUUGAUUAAAUUUUUCAAAAUAAUUUUCUAAGAGUUUAUUGGAAGAAAAAAAAUUAAAAUAAAUCUGUACCAAAACAUACCAGUAGGUAGUGUGUGAGUACCAAAACAUGCGUAUUCAUCAGCACACAAACGUACCAUAUAUCAACACCAAAGCAUGUGAGUACCGUGCCAUCCCAAACAGAUAGCGGUAUGCUUUCGGACCACGACACUUUAAAUCUUGGGCUUA